rnacentral:lncRNA from 1 species
CUAUGCUACCUUUUGUGGACCCACAUGCCUAUAUAGCUAAGGUAAGGGUAGUGUGUAAAAGCAGUGUAAGGGAGACUGAUUUGGAUUUGGAUGUAAUAGGGUUAAGAGUAUUUCCUCUCUCACUAACGGGAGAGGCUGCUAUUUGGUUCACUAAGCUCCCUUAUAACUCAAUUUUCACUUGGAACCAACUAAGGGACGUUUUCUUAGCACAUUACUAUCCGGUCUCCAUGAAACUAAACAACAAAGCAAAGUGAACAAAUUCGUGUCACUACUAGGAGAGUCAGUUAGCAGUUCUUGGGAUAGAUUCACUUUAUUUUUGAGAAGUGUCCCGAAUCACCGCAUAGAUGUUGAGUCACCGAAGGAAUACUUCUAUCGAGGACAGGAUGAUAAUAAUAAAGCGGCAUUGGAUACUUUAGCGGGUGGUUUUUAUGAGGAGUGUCCUUAUGCCGAGAUCGCCGAAAAGUUAGAGACAAUAUCCCAGAAUAAUAAAUCUUUGAGUACUAAGAAGUUAGAUACUGGCAGAAAGAAAUUCACUGUGCAAUCCACACACAACCCAUCCACAGAUGAGAUUCGUGAAGCGAUAACUCAGAUGAGAACUGAGCUUGGGUUGGUAGUAAAACAUGUAACUGGGGUGCAAAAAAGAUAAAUGCAUUUAAGUACUUGUCUAAACCACAACUACCAAAUGACGAAUGUUAUCAUGAGGAGGAUUUCUAUGUGGUAAAUGAGCAGACGGGGGGUUUCCGACCGAGUGCUCAAGGCUCAAAUUAGGAGAAUUGGCGCGAGGGUCAAGGAAACCAAGGUCAAAUCUAUGGUAACUAUAACUGUGAGGGUCGUUAUGUUUGAGAUGGAAAUUAACAUCGCGACAAAAACUUCAACAGGGGUAACUACAGUAACUGAAAAGAUAGGAAUGAGCCCUAUGUUCCACCUCAAAAUUUUGAAGUUACUCCUAGGGAUAGUGGAGGUAGUAUGGCACGAGUUGAGGAUAUGUUGCACUAAAUGAUGUGGAGGUUCGAUGCUAGUGAUGAGCACAUCAAAGAUUUAAUGAUUGAUUUAACGGGUAUUGAACAGAAAAUCGAUAAACAUACAAAAUCGAUUAAGCAGGUUGAGUAGCAAAUGGCCAAAUUAUCUGCCACUGUAAACACACGGCAACCGGGCACUCUUCCUGGCAACAUUGUCAAAAAUCUUAAAAAUGAUGGACACUAUAUGGCAAUAAAUAAUCGGGGUGGUAAGAAAACCAUUGACCCACCUAUUCCUUCUAAUGAGGAAAAGGUGAUAAAAGUUAAUGAUAAAGUGGUAGAAGUUGGUGGUGAAGUUGAAUAUAACACUGGAAAAGAAGCUGAAGUACCUACAAAGGUAACUCCGAUGCCUAGACCACCACCAUUCCCUUUCCUCAAAGAUAAGUGAAUAAGACCAAGGAUUGUAAAUAUCGGUGUUUUAUAACAAUGUUGAAGCAGUUUUCAAUCAAUGUCCCUGUGGUAAAAGCUCUAGAAUAAAUGCCCGAUUAUGCCAUGUUUAUGAAAGAUCUAGUUACAAAGAAAAGAUCGGUCACCUUUGAGGAUGAUGAUAGAAUGAAGCAUUGUAGUUCUAUUGCUACAAGAUCUCUAGUACAAAGAAAGAAUAUCCUGGUGCGUUCACUAUUCCUUGUAUAGUCAGGUUAUUAUAUUUUUCAAAAGCAAUAUGUGAUAUGGGGGAAAGCAUAAAUAUCAUGAACCUCUCGAUUUACAAGAAGUUGGGUUUGGUUGAUACAAAGCACACUGGGAUGCGGCUACUUAUUACCGAUCGAACAGUAAAAAGGCCUAUAGAGAUACUGCACGAUGUGCUAGUAAAAGUGGAGUCGGUCAUAUUUCCUGCAGAUUUUGUUAUUCUUGAUUGUAAAGUCGAUUUUGAAGUGCCUAUUAUUCUUGAGAGGCCACUCCUUGAUACGAUAGAGCCUUAGUUGAUAUGGAAAAUAGGUAGAUGAAACUUCGGUUGAAAAAUGAAUAAGUGACCUUAAACAUUUUUAGGUCCAUGAGACAGAGUGGUGAGAUCCAAUCGGUAUCUUCUAUAUCCUACAAAGAAAAUAUGAAGAAGUACAAUGACCUAAAAAUUAAAAAAUGAGAGUUUAUGGUCUGGUAUUUUGUGCUUUUAUACAAUUCUAGGUUGCGCUUAUUUGUGUGCAAGCUCAAGUCCAAAUGGACUGACCCUGACUUGACUACCCAACUAUUCUCUCAUAGGGCAUUUAAGUUUGAAACCAAGGAGGGUGUGUGGUUUAAGGUGAACGGACAAUGAAUAAAAACCAAUUUCGGGCAUCUAAUGAGAUAUGAUGUCCUCAUUCUAGAAGCCAGCUUCCGUGAUGUAUGAGUUGAAUGUAAUGGAACUUUUUACUAAUCACGAUAGGCUAGCUAUGAGCGGUGAUGUCUUCCUUUGGGAAAGGUGGAGGUUCACGUAACUCUCAUGAGAUGAGAUUGUCCAGCACGCCGAGUAUGGGUCUCCUUAUAUAUCCUAGUCUUUGAACCUAUACUGCCAAUAUAGGGAACUAGCAGGUUCAAUUCCAUAUAUACGGUAGCAUAUUUUGGUUCACUUUAGCCAGCGAUUCCACCUCUUUUUGGUGUGGGGAUUACACAAUGGAUUUUGUGAUGCUCACUUGAUAUAUGUGGGUUAAGGUUAAAGUUCCCAAAGAAAGAAUGAGGCCAGCCUCAAAGAAUACACAUAAUGAAAUGAAAGAUACCAAAUGUGUGAUGAUAGGAUAAUCAAGAGGUGAGUGAGACGUAAGUAAUGACACUAGGUUAUUCUUGGUCAUUGCACAACGAACCCGAUGAGAGUCUUAAACUACAUCCUAUGUAUGACUGCUGUUUGAACUUGUACAUGAAAGAAUGAAAAUGAAGUACAUAUGAAUGAACGAAGCAUACUCUAUGUCUGUUAAAGAAGGCUCCCUAGUUGAGAUCCCAUAUGUUGAGCCUUCAUUUUGUAAAUUCCUUAUGUCAAGUCCAUUGUUCUAAGGUAUCAUGGAAUAUGAAAGAAUGAUAUGAACUAUGUGAUAUAAUAUGUAGCAAUAUGUUAUGUGUUGUUUGCAAAAGGAUAUGUAUGAUGAUGCAUGUUAUUCUCAUAGCAUGACUUUCCUAAUCCAAAUUUGGCAAGUCGAUUGACUUUACUUUCCAUAAUUCAUAUCGUUAGGAGAGAGAUUUUCUUUAGCAUGCAUGUCCUUGGUGUGUGCUUGCAUAUACCCAUACUAAGUACAACUGUGUACUAAUCCCAUACAACUCUAUACUUUUAGGUGCAGGCACAGGUAGAUCCUAGAGCUUACGAUACGACGUUGUAGCUAUCCAGAUGGGGAGCAUUCAUCCGGACUUAGUAGACCCUCAUUCUUUUGAGGAAUCUUGGACAUUAUAGUAUAGCCUAGAUAUAGGUUUGAGUUAGUGGAGUAUGUUCCAUUAGCAUUUCUUUCCUAUUUAAUUUUAGACAUUGUAUUGGUUCCAUUUUUCCAAGUAUACACUUAAUGAAAUAUUCAACUGUUACAUUCAUUUGAUGAUCUUAAUAUUAGAUGGUUGAUUGUGAACAUUUAUGAGUUUAAGUAGAAUGUCUUAAGUGAAUAUUAAGUAACAAAAAUUUCAAAUUUUCCGCUACAAUUAACCUAGAUGAAGUAACUACGAUGUAUGUAGGAUUGUCUGUGACCUUUGAGAGGUCAACAACGCCGGUCUCGUUUAGGGUAUAGACUUCGAUAAUGACAAAGUUUGUAUCAAAGACCUAGGAUAAAUUCUGAUUAUAACAAGUUCCAACCUUAUUGGGUAGUUUCUAAGUCAUGGUAGUGAAGUGCACAACUAUCCUGAAUUACAGAAUUCAUAAGGCUUAGGAAAUUUUCCCUUCUUUUAAGCUUAUCAUUUCUUAUGACGUUAUUAUUUGUUGGUGUUAAGAGCAUAUCAAACAUAAACUCUGGUCUUUCAUAAACAUGAGAGCCUAGAGUUAAGAGAAAUAGUGAAGUAGAUACACCUUAAGAUAGGCCACCUUGUUGGAAGUAUGACAAACUACGUGGAGGAGAGUGGAUGGGCUCUAACGCUUGUUCCACUUGUGGAAAGCCGGGUUACAUGAUGAAGGAUUGUCUGAAUAGAAGAGGUCAAGAAAAAGGACAGGAGAAAGUUCAGCCUAAUAGUUUAAGUGAAGAGGCUACAAGGAGGCAACGAUUCUUCGCACUAAAGUCUAGGGGUGCAGGGAAAGGCACUUCUUGAUGAUGUCUAGAGUGCGUAGCCUUAAUUAGUCUUUAAUGUGUUUGACUAUGUAUGGUCUUAUGAACUAGUAUGAAGUUAAUGUUGUUGUGUCAUCAUGUUGAGUGCUAUCUUUUGUGACUUAUGUGUUUACAUAUGUUGUAUGCUUUGAUGAGACUCGUUUACGAAAAAGUUCCCUAGUCUUUUAACGUGAAGCUGCUAGUAGGUUUCAAGGAUGUGCACUACCAUGUUAAUAUGUGAAUUAGAUAUUCACCAAUGAGGAGUAUUGAAUUUUCUAUGUAUGCAUAUGUUCUAUAAAUGACUUACUUGUUUCUAGUAAAGAGUAGUGUCAUUUAGGGACGAAUGUUCCUACGAGGGGAAUAAUGUAUCAACCCUAAUAUGACUAUGCUAAGUAAUGCCUAAUGCAUCUAGAGUGCCUAGAUUAGACCGAGUUCACACGGAUUGAUGCGCAUAAAACCAGAACUCUGAACCCUUGCGACAACCAAGCAAAUCAAUUUGAGGAUUUAUUUGAACUAGGAAAGUUUGGGUCCAUCCAUGUAAGACUCCAGAAUAUGAAUAUUCACUCGGAUAAGUCUUUACCAGACUUUAAAAGGGGAAAUCUUAUGUUUGGAGGGUCUAGCGGUAAAAUGGUCUUUUUCCAAGAUAAGGGUAGUAUCUAAAUUACACUUAAUAGGUAAUUAAAUAUUUAAUUAGUAAGGUGGAGGGGCAUUGUGGUUAGAGAGGGACGAAAUUGCCUAUUGAGCAAAAUCUUGCUCCACCCGGGUUAAAACCUAGGUGUGAGCAAUGAUUUAACUUGAUUAUUUAUAUUGGUGAAUUAUUUUAAGUAAUUAAUAUUUAAAUAAUGUCUUAAUAAAAAGGAAAAUAUUAGUAUUAUUAUUAUUAAUUAAUUAAUUAAUUAAUGGGGCGUUUGAUUAUGGUCGACCUAGAGGGACCCAUUUUCGUGAUGGGGACGUCACAGGUUCAAACCUCGACUGAACACAUUUAAGUAGAUUAAAUUGAAGUUUAUAAUAUGAUUUUUAAAGGGCAUUAUGGUUAUUUCACCAAACUUAUUAAAUUAAAUUUUCAAAGUUUGAAAGAGUCCUAGUUGAAUAAGUCUAAACGACUUCACCUAAUCCUAAGCCACGAUAUUUACUAAUGAACUAUUUUGUUCUUUGCACAUUCACAUUCAUUCACUAAAGAAUAAAAAUAAGGAGGAGAAUUAAAGUAACUUAAUAUAUAGAUUAUAAUCUGAUUUUAUUAUUUAAAUUGUGUUAAUAAGUCAACAACAAACUCCCAAGGAAAGAGGUGCACGACCUCCACUAGGAGUGUACUCAAUGUGCACUAUUAAUUCAUUAUCUCUUCUAAAAACGUUUUUCAGCUUUAUUUUACAAUUAAUAAAUAGAAAAAUAAAAUAAUAUUAUUGAUUCUAAAGAUUUCUAGGAGGCAUUCAUCAAAAACAAAAAGAAAAGAAAUUGUACGCCUAAGUUUUUUGAGAUAUCACGUAAAGAACUUCACAAAGGAACGGGAAUCAAAGCUUGGAAGAAAGGUUUGUGUACGGGUGGAAACGUGUGGUUGUGGAUGGUUGUAAAGGCUGAAAAGGUAUGUGUUUUCUUCUCUAUUGGUCCCUUUCCCAAGAGUUCCCUAUGGUUCAGUACGUAUUCCAAUAAAAAAACUAAGGUUGUCCCCGUUGAAUACCCUUGUCAUUAGAUCCUCUGAAAAGUGAUGAAUGCGUUGGUAUGUACGCUGGUAGACAAUCUUAGGAAAAUUUUUAAUUGUGUGUAAUGUGAUGUUUCCGGACAGCGUAUGAUACUUUUUUGUGUGUUCGACUAUAUGUAUGUUUUAUGUACGCAAUAAUGCUAGUUAUCACGAGAAGCAUAUUAUAGAUUGUUUUCAAGAAAGUGGUGAAUUGGGUUCUAUGCAUUUGUUGUGUUAUUAACAUAGGAUGAUGAAAUCAUGAUGUUCAUGACCAAGAGAAUAAAAGUAAAUUCCUUAAAGAAUUGGUUAAAAUCUUAUAUACAACUCUAAGCUAAAACGGCUAAGCUAAAUGCAACGAAAGUGAAUUAAAGGCAUAUGUUAAUGGAGUAUAGUUUCGGCUAUUUCCUAGUAAAAAUCUAAGAAAAGUAUAUGUUGUCAUUGACGGGGGAACUCGAGACCGUAAUGUCCUAAUACUAAGAGAUUCAGCUUUAAAACAAAAUAAAAAAUAAUUGGGUGAGAGAGGGGAUUCGAACUUGGUCAUGUUGAAAGAAGCUUGGAAAUAAAAGAAAAAGAAAACAGUGAGGGAAGGGGGAUUAGAACUCGGCUCCUUGUCCAAGGGUUUGAGAUACAUAAAUCUCACAUCAAAAUAAAAUAAUAAAAAUUGAGGCCACUGGGAUUCGAUCCUAGAUCCUCUUGGCCGAAUGAGUGAAGCCACCUAGCACUCUAAAUAAUUAAAAAUAAAGUGUUGGCUAAGGGAUUCGAACAUUGGUCCCUUUAAUGAAAUUGUGAGGCACGUUAAAUUGAAAUAAAAUGCAGACAUUAAGGAUUGAAAUUGGAUCCUUUGGCUUCAUGUGUAAAAUGCAUGUCUUAAAUAACAUAUACUUAGAUUGACAUGAAACACUUAGUCAAUUAUGAGUAAUCCAAAUUGGGUUAGAACAUGAGUAAAUUGUAAGAUUAUUAAAUGAACAUUCUUGUAAAGAGGUGAGUAAUUACAUUAUACUAUGAUUCUAAUGAAAAUAGUGACAACAUGACAAGAGGCUAAAAUAAAUGUAUGAGAGAGUUAGGAGAUAAAUAAAGGAGAAAAAUAAAUGUGGUGAGUGGGGAUUGAACCCACAACCUCUUGAACUGAUGAGAGAGUUAGGAGAAAAAAAUAAAGAAGAAAAUAAAUGAUGUGAGUGGGGAUUGAACCCACAACCUCUUGAAUAGAUGAGAGAGUUAGGAGAAAAAUAAACGAGAAAAUAAAUGUGGUGAGUGGGGAUUGAACACACAACCUUUUGGAUAGGUGAUAAAGUUAAGAGAUCAAUUAAAAGAAAAAUAAUGAGCUUGUGAGGUAUUGAACUCACAACCUCCUUGCCUUAAAACGAAACAGGAGUGGAGAACAAGAAACAAAUACUAUGGGGUUAAGGGGAAUCAAACUAGGGUCUACCAAAUUGAAAAAAAUACAAUUAUCAAGUUUAAAGAAGAUUAAGUGUUGUUCAAGUGAUUCAAAAUCAGGUUCCCUUGCCUAAUUCCUUAUUCACACAUAAGUCAUACGUAAAGAAAUAUUUAAUGAAUGUUGCUUCAAAAGAUCGAAAACAAUACCUUGUCAUAUCUACAAGCUGGAUAAGUCUUGUACCAAAUAAUAUAAGGUAAACAUGAAUCACUUAUAAAAACUAUGAAUGAAGCCUCAUGUCUUAUAUGUGUUGAAUCAUAAGUCUAGCAUAUUUUUAAAAGUAAGUGAUCCUAAGAUGUAUGUUAUUAAAUAAUGUAACCCUAGAAGGUUUAAGUAAGAGUUUGAAACACACUAAAUGGCCAAGUGCAUUGGCAUAUGAUGAAAUGAACAUUCGCGUGAAGGGGUGAGUAAUUAUGAAAAUCAAAUGUGUUAAAGUUAAUGAAUGAGAUGACAAUAUAAUAAGAGGCUAAUGUAAAAGAUGAGAGCAAUCUCAAAUGAGCCUAAAUAAAUGUUACAAAAAUGUACUCACCUUUGAGAGUUUAAAGCUUAUGAAGAGACCAGUCUCUAUGAACACUCUAAUUAAAUUAUUGAAGAAAUACUUAAUACUAAUGAUGAUAUGAGAAGUAACCUAAUGAGGUAAGAUGUCCUCAAUCUAGAAGCUAGCCUCCAUGAUAUAUGAGUUUAAUAUAAUGGAACUUUAUACAGAGCACCGAUAGGAUAGCUAUGAGUGGUAAUGCCUUCUUUUUGGAAGGGCGGAGGUUUACGUAACUAUCAUGAGAUGAGACUAUACGGCAUGCUGGGUAUGGGUCUCCUUAUAUAUCCUAGUCUUUGAGACUAUACUUCCAAUAUAGGGAUCUAGCAGGGUUCAAUUCCUUAUAUAUGCUACCAUGUUUUGGUUCACUUUUGCUGGUUAUUCCACUUCUUUUCGGUGUGGAGAUUACACACUGGAUUAAAUGAUACUCACAUGAUCUAUGUCGGUUAAUGUUAAAGUUCCAAAAGAAAGAAUGAGGCAAGCGUCAAAGAAUGCACAUAAUAAUAUGAAUGAUACCAAAGGUGUUAGGAUAGGAUAAACAAGAGGUGAUCUAGACUUAAGUAAUGCACUAGGUUAUUCUUUGUCAUUGCACAACGAACACGAUGAGAGUCUUAAACUACAUCUUGGGUAUGACAGGUGUUUUCACUAGUAUAUGAACCAAUGGAUAUGAAGUAAGUACGAAUGAACAAAGUAGACUCUAUGUUUUCUAAAGAAGGCUCCCGAGUUGAGGUCCCAUAUAUUGAGCCCUCAUUAUGGGAAGUCCUAAUGUCAAGUCCAUUAUUCCAAUGUCACAUGGCAUAUGAAAGAAUGAUAUGAACUAUGUGGUAUGAUAUGUGUAAUAUGUUAUGUGUUGUUUGCAAAAUGAUAAGUAUGAUGAUCCAUGUUACUAUUAUGGUAUGACAUUCCAAAUCCAUAUUUGAGAAGUCCACGUACUUGACAUUCAAUCAUUCAUAUCGUUAGGAUUGAUCUCUUCUUAAUCAUGCAGAUGAUAGAUCUUAGGAUACGAAGUUGUAGCUUUCUGGACGUGGAUCAUUCAUGCGUACUUGGUAGGGCCUCAUCCUUUCGAGGACGCAUGGCCAUUAUACUCUAAAUAAUAUAUAGAUUUGAUUUAGUGGAGUAUGUUCCACUAGAGUUUCUUUAUCAUUUUAUUUCAUACAUUGUAUUGGUGUCAUGUUGGCAAGUAUACACUUAAUGCAGUAUUCAACUAUUUCUCUCAUUUGAUGAUCUUAAUAUUAGAUGGUUGAUUGUGAACGUUUGUGAGUUUAACUAGAAUGUAUUCAAUGAAUGUUAUGUAACAAAAAGUUUAAAUUUUCCGCUCAAAUUAACCUAGAUGAAGUAAAGAUGACAUAUGUAGGCUUGUCUGCCACUUUUAAGAGGUCAACGACGCCAGUCGCGUCUGGUCUCUAGAUGUCGGUCGUGGCAAAAUCGUCUCUUAUUUUACCUUAAUUAACCCCUAUGUAACCCUCUAGUAACACUUGGUUCAAUGUAUGAAUGGUGUCCUAUUCUACCAUCAACACUCAAACAUCGUUUUAAGGCUACAAAGGUGAACAUUACCGUAAUAUUCUUUAACAUGAACAUUCAUAUUCAUAUAAUAUAUCAUAUCAUGAGACUCAUACUUCACAUAGGACCCAACAUACUUCUUUAAUCACAUAGGAUAUUUAUUACAAGAUAACAUAUAAGUAAAGACAUCCAAUAAUAUCACAGUAAUACAAUAGUCAACAUUAACAUAUCUCUACUUUACUUCACAUGAAACAUCAUAAGACCUUAUCAUUUACAUCAUACAUUAACAUGGAAAGUAUAGACAACUUCAAACUUACCAAGUAUUACCUUCAUUAUAUAGUCACUAAUACAAAUAUUAUGCAUAUGCAGUACGACCUCAUAAUACAGACUUAAUAGGAUCAAUACUAUGCAUAUUAUUAUAACAAGUAGACCAACACUUCAAUAUCAUUCAUAAGGAACAUCGAUAUAUCCAUAUACAUAUACAACACCUUCCUUGAACUUCCUUCAAAACCUACUUGUGCAAUUCAUAUGUAAUUUUAUUAAACUCACCUAUCAUAAAAAACAUCCCUUAAGUUAUCGUAUUUAGAUUCAUUACUUUACUUCCAUUGUCCAUUUUACAUUAGGGAAUCUAUAGCCUUAACCGACAUUAAGAAAAUGUGUGCUAAACAUCGGAUUUGGUAUCAUCCUCUCACACCAAAGAGGGUAUCUAACUUGCCAAGGUAAAGCAUGAUAUCAUACCAACAUAUUAGAUGGAUCCACUUGCAAUGUCCUAUUUGACAACACAGUUUAUUGAACUUGAGGUAUACAUGGAAACCCUCCUUAUUCAAAUUGGGCAUUAUAGUUAUCCACCUCGUAAGGACUAUGGUGAAUAAGGCUUCCCUAUAGAAAGGGGAACACCUCAUCAUCAAGUUCACUCGGUACUAAGAUAACUUCCCUUUGUUGAAAUGCCUUUAUUAACAUUACUUUAUUCAAAAAGCCAUUAAGAUAUUAAACCCUCAUAUUCAUAGAUCUAGGUUAUAGAUGAUAAUGUCCUUUCAUCAACCUACCUUUUGGGAGAAAACCUUUCGCAUAGACAUAACACAUAUAAACCGUAGUCUAGUUUAGAGUACAAUAAAGAAAAUAUUUUAAUAGACACUACUUUACUAGAUCAUCACAACAUGCUUCAUUCAUACAUUUUAUGUGUGUGUGUGUACAUAUAUGUGGAGAAGACCUUACACAUAGACACUCUUUGAAAGCAUAUGUUCAUACUUCACUUCAUUCUUACAUAAGUGCAUCAGUGUACAUUUAUGAGCAGCCCUCUCAUAUAAAAACAUUAAGAGAUUACACUUAUUCAUACUUCAUCAUAUCAUAUACUUGACAUCAUAACAUAUAAGUCAUGUUUAUAACUCACUCAUGCAUUCAUAUUCAUGUACAUAGAGAAUUAUCGUAGGAACUAUCAUAUCAAGGCACAUAUGUGCAAUGCAUCGAUAAGGUCCCAUACCCUUGUCCAUACUAGUAAACCUAUCAAUUUAUCUUAGUUAUGAUAUACAUUCAUAAUUUCAUGAAUAUAUACUACACCUGCAUAGUAGUAAACAAACAUGCAUAUGAGAACUAUCCUUUCAUUACCGACCAAAAAUAUAUUCUAAUCAUAAACAUGAAUAAAGUGUGUGUGUGUGUGUACAUUGGUCAACAUGAUCACAUCAAUGGAAAAAAACAUAUUUAGGCAGCCACCUUCCGAAGUUCACAAUACACAUUCAUGUCUCUUAAACAAUAGACUACUCACAUAUAGAGUUCUAGGGACCAUAGACCACACAAAACAACAUUAUUGCAUAGGAUACAAGACACCUUCAUCAUUGAAUAUAGGACUCCUAACCGUUCUUGGACCACACAUUAAUAUACGAUUUCAUAGGUAGGGGUCAUGCUAUACAUGAGUAUCCAAUCAUCAACAUGUAGACUAAACCUAGCCCUAACAUAAUCAUCCACAUAAAGUAAGCAUAAUUAAUAUACUCAUAACAUGAUACUAGCAUUAGAAAACUAGGCAUAUAACUUCAUAGGUGUGAUCAUCAUAACCACCCUUAAUAAUUCAUAAAAUUGCCAUCACGGGGAUGAUGAACAUUAAUAUAGAUUGAUAAGAAAGUAAACACCGCCACCAUAAUUUUACCAUACCACACAAUUCUAUUCAAGGCCAAUCUACUAUAAAUUCUAUACAAAGUAGAAGAAAGAGGGCAAACAUACCAAUUCCCCAAGAUUUGAUCAUCAUUGAUUGAUUUCCAUAAUUCAUCAACAAAUCAUGUAGAAAAUAGUAGCUAAAUGUACAUUAAAAUAAAGGAAAUCCAUAAUUCAAUCAUCAUAGGAUUAAGAUCACAUUACCCACAUUGUAGACUUAAUUGGGAUUUUUUGAGGAACAUGGGGUUCAUCAUGAAAAUAGAUUGAAAUCGACAUAAAAAAUAGUGGAUAAUUAUAAAUUCAUUAUCAGCAUGCUUUUUAAAAUAAUUUGAGAAAGAACCAGCUAGAUUGAAAGACAUAGAGUUUGAUUAUGAAAUAUAUUCAAAAACCUUUGAUGGAACACUUUAUAUGAAUGGUUAACUAAACAUAUAGGAUCACCAUACCUUACUAUAUUAGAUUACCAUGAAAAAAUGAAGAAGCAAUCUUGAGAAUCCAUCACCAUGGUUGUCCUUUAGCUUGAUCUCUAAUGGAAGUUUCUAGUGAUAGUUUCUUUUGAGAGAGAGAGAAGUCUAAUUUGAAGAAUGAAUUGGAAUAGGGUUUUUAAUUUUAUUAAAUUAUUUAAUAUACAAAAAAAUACAUAAAAUAACUCCUAGGGUCGAUUUAGAAUGUAGGCUGAAUUUCUCGUUUACCCCUAUAAUUAACAGCGUGUUGCAGGCAGAAUCUUUAGGUUUAAUCGACGUGCAUGGUUACGAACCAUCGAUGGAACGACGGUGAAGUGCUUCACAAUCAUAUAUUGCAACAGAGAAUCCUUCAUGGGGGGUGCAUCUCACACUUCUAAGUGUUGAGCGAUCCAUGCAUGAUACAUCGUUCAUGGGGUCAUCGAUUGGACACUGCCAAGGGAGUCUCUAGGCUGCAUUAAGGUCUUCCUCAAGGGCACUUUGGGUGGUCCUUGAGGAGUCAUGUCCGGACAUAUGUACCCCAAAUACACUCUUAUACAUGUUAUGAACCUUCUUAAAAAUUUGUGAAACGAACAAAAGUUAAAACAUAUCAAGUCACAGUAGAAACCACUAGUACAUCCUAAGGCUAACAUUCGAACGUCUCGGAUGUUUGACCUCCAAGACAAUUCAAAUCAUGUAUACAAAAUGUAUAACACUUAAUUAACAUACUAUUAACCUUUUAGUCACAUCUAGGGCUCUAUCUACCUUAACUUAUUUUGAGACACGUUAAAAUAUCCUCAACUUUGGAACGUUUGUCCUCCAGUGGCACGUGCAACAUUUUAAAAAGUUCAAGGACUCAAUAACAAAAAGAACAACUCAAAACAUUCAAAACAUCAUCACAUAUCAGUCAAUUCACCAAACUUACAAGGAACGUUAACUUCCAUUCCAUUUUAUACUCAAUGCACACAAGCAAGUAAAACUUUUAUUCACUCACUCCUUAACGCAUCAAUACAAAGGCAUUUCUAAUUUUCAUAGGAGGAACAUCCUUCUCCUAAUCAUGACAUGGUCUUUACAUUUCAUGUUAUUAAGAGCUCAACAUGUAUAAUCAUUUCGAUGAGAAAUAUGCAAAUUCAACAACAUCUCUCAAGAAGAAAAUAAACAACUCAUACUUAAUGCACAUAGACUUGAGUCAAGUAGAUCAACAGGACCCUUAUAAGUUUGACAUAGUGACAUGUAGGCCAUAUUAAACAUUACCAUGUUUAGUUAUGUUUAAAGGAGGAAUGUCCUUCUCCUAAACACACUUAUAUGUCAUCAAGAGUUUAUACACAAUUAAUGCACAAGAGUCUAUUCAUUUUAAUGAUAACUUCUCAACCUUUUAACCAUAAAAUGAUCAUACUUCCUUCGUAAUGAAGUCCAUUGGUAAAUCAAACAACACACAUCACAACAGUAGGAAUUGAUUUCUCAUAUUUUCAAUUUCUAGCGUAACACUACCUUUCGUAAACAUGCAUCAUUUAAGGAAAUUAUUAUUAUUUAUAGGCACACACAAGGAUAUUAGCUAGAAAUACCUUCAAUUUUAAAGAAUAAGUCUACAUGCACACAUCCCAAACCAUACAAAUAACAUAUUUUUCAAAGGGAUUCAUCUUAACUCAUUUAAAAGAGACUCAAUAUCUAAUUGUGAGGCUAAAGCACCACACAUUAAAAGUGACAUUAAGAAUUUCCAUUAGUCCAUCUCAUGAAAUCAAAUGGCACAUUCAUCAUAUAAAGAUGAACAUAAACAUGAGGAACAUGAAUUUUAUAAAAAAUCUCAUUUUCAUGUUGGAAAACCAUUCAAAAAUAUGCGUAACAUAGUGUCAUUUAAGGUAUCCAUAAAAUAUGGAGAACACGAAAAUUAAGCUUAUAUGAAAGACUCUAAUCACCAAAAAACUACUUAGGAACUCCUUCGUUUAAAGAUUGAGUAAGAGUGGAAGAAAAAGAUAGAGAUAUCAACAACCUUACUGCUCACAUCACCGUCCCUUACAUAGGGUAAACCCAUUUAAGAGCAACUUAACUAAAUCUUAGGAGAAUCUUAGCUUACCAACCUUAAAAACUAAGUUCAUCAUCCCACUCUUAGGUAUUAAGCUUAUUCAUAUCUUUCAUCAACAUCACCUAAAUGUUAUACUCAACAUAAAGAAGUUCAAGGAACUCCACAUAGGGACAUCAAGGGCACUUAAAAUCUUACCAUCUAGGAACAUUAUCCCCCACUUAGGGUAAGCCCGUCCACAUCAUGCCCUUAAAUACCUAGGUCAUGGCAAGUCAAGAUUGUCCUAUAAACUCAUCACAUAAGAAGGUUUUAAAUCAUGGAGGGUUUUCCACUAAUAAAAUCACAUCAAGGAGUAUACUAAUUCAACCAUCAUCAUUUCUCUAAGCCAAACACCCAAAGAAAACUCAUAAAAAUCAAGUCAGUUCAUGCUACCGAAAAACACGAGGCCUUAACCACACUAUGAAAAGAAGGGAUAACUCCAUUAUUUCAUCACAACAUAGUGUACAUAUUUGGACUCUUAAUGUCCACUACCAUAUUUUCUAAGAACUUAAGGGUAACGCUGUAAGAGAAACAUAUGUGUCUUAAUAUUCUCGCAAUACUAGGGCAAGAUAACUUGUAGGAUAUUUCCACCCACAUUAUCACCUUUGGAGGAACCUUGCAACCAAUUAUACACAAGUACAAUCUAAGCACCCUUUUUCAAAUGACCAGACUUAUGGUCAAUCUUAAAAGACAACUAACCACUUUCAAAGUAGGUCAACUUCAAUCCAUUUCUUCUCCCGAUGAACUAAGGGAUACAUACAUCUCUCUAAAUCAACAUUAAGGUAAACAUAAUACGAACUUAUAGAGUAAAACCUAUUUUCCCUUUUUCCCCACUCAUAGAAUAGUUUCAUAGGGACUUAUCAACUAGUCAUAAGGAGUUUUUCAUUAACAAGUAUAUUUCACAAUCACCUUAGAAGGUAAGAACACUACCUCAUUUUCUUAGGAGCAAGCCCAUACAAAGGACUCCAAUAAACGCAAGACAACAACGAAGUAUUAGACACUUAAAAGGGCAUGAUUUUUACUAUUUACCACAUUUUCUUCAAAACCAUUUAAGCCUAAACCAUACCAUUAUACUACCAUCAUACAUAACCAUAAUGAAACUCAUUGUUCAAAAGGGAAGUACAUACUACUAUAACCACUCUUUACAAGCUAUAACCAUAUCAUAACAUACCUUAUAAAAACAACAUCUCAUAUCUCAUAAAGCACAUGCAUAGUCAUAAAUGGAAUCACAUCAACACAUGCAAAAUUCACCUUCACAAAUACUCAUAAAACAAGAAAACCAAGGGAAGAAUCAAAAUUUAACUUUUAUCCUAAAGACAUUGGGAUCUCAUAAAAUCCAAGCAAUCAUAUUUAAAAGACAACAGGACAAGAAAACAUAAGAUGCAGAUUAUAUAGAGUUAUUUUAUAUGGAACGAUAUAUAUAGUGAAAAAGGCAAACUUUAUCGUCCUAUAGCCUUUUGCUCAUGACUGUGUCGCUAUUUACAACCAAUGAACGAACUCUACAAGCGUGGAAAUAGAGAAUUUAGACUGUAAAUCCACUUUUAUAACCUCAUGCUCUGAUACCACAUUUGUCAUGACUAGGGAGUACCCCUCCCCCAAAAAAGUAACAUGGUGUACUUAAUGUCCCAGAGGAAUUACAUUAGUCCACAAUUAUUAUUAAUCGUAUUGUUAUAGGAAAUUUAGGGGAAAAACUUAAAACUUUUUAUAGAACAUCGAGAAAUAUCACUUCCAUUAAUAUAAAAUGGCAUAAGUACAUAGACUCUAGAUCUCUUUUGCCAUCUUAGAUUCAACAUCACUUGACUAGUUUAGGGACACAAUCCUUACAAUAUAAAAUAAUAACAACGAUAUUACAUAAAUUUGAAUAAAAUAUGUCAUAUCUAAUCUUUGAAUCUUAACUACCCCUUUAUUUUAACUUUAGAAAGUUAUCCAAGUCCUUCACAUUAAGAGAUAUCCUCUAGCUUUCACCACUUACACACUAUGUAAAAAGCUGAAGAUGAAUGAUGUUAGUACGAGAAUCCACUAAGUAUGAAAACCAUGCAAGAACAUGUAUUUAAAGAGAACAUGCAACAUUCAUUUUGAAAGAAUCUUCCUAAAAAUUUGCACAAUUACACAAUAUAGUUCACAUACUUCAUAUAGGGAUACACCCUAUUCAUGAAAACACACCAAGUCAUAUAUAUUGCAUAUAAAGCACAUCAAUCAUAUUCAUAAUUUUCUGUUAUAUUACCUUAAUUCAUUAACCCCUAAGUUACCCUCUAGUAACAAUUACUGCAAUGUAUGAAUAGUAUCCCAUUCCACCAUCCACACUAAAGAUUUACCUUAAGGCCACCAAAGUGAACAUUCCCAUAACAUUAUUUAACAAAAAAAUACAUAUUCAUAUAAUAUAUCAUAUCAUGAAACUCAUACUUCACAUAAGACCCAACAUACUUCAUGAAUCACAUAGGAGACUCAUUACAAGAUAACAUAUAUGUAAGAUCCCAAAAUGAGUUAGGGUGUCUAGAGACUAACAUGUCUGUAUUAAUUUUAUAAGGUCCUAAAAUGAAUUAUAAUAUGGUUUAGAGUUAGAGUUUAAUGUUUGAGGUGAUUUGGAAGUCGAACGUCAAGGGACAACCAAAACGUUCGACGACUAGCUACCUAUGUGCCUCAUGUUUCUAUGCGUGCUUAUAUAUUUUAUUUCAUGAUAUGAUGAAGUAUUAAAAUGAUUAAUAAUUAUGUAUUAAUAUGGUAGAUGUAUUUUCAUGAUGUUUUGAGGUCAAACAACCAAGAACGUCCAAGGCGUUUGAAAGAUAGCCCUUAAGACGCUCAAGUGUGUCUUGACGGGGCCUAGCCUGUUUGCACGAGUUUCAAGUAUGGGUUUUGGGUAAAACUAAAGUAGGAGUUCUAAAACUUAUUAAGGAUUGUAUUUACGUUGGUAAUGUUCAGAUAUGACUUCUAAAUUACCCCGCAAAAGGUCCUAGAAGAAGGACCCAAGACUAUCGAAGACAUUGCUUUGGCAGUGUCAAUCGAUGGACAAAAUAACGGCCGGAUGGUUGACCAAAGGCCCGUUGAUGCGGUAUCGUAGAUGGGCACUUAUCAUGGUCAGGUAUCAAUUAAAAAACAGGCCAAGUUCCAAUACACGGAAGCCAAAGUAUGGCCACUCGAUAUGGUUCCAUCAAUGGUAGCCUGCAACACUGUCUAGCGGACUGUUUUAUUUAAGGGGUGAAUGGGAAAUUCACCCCACGUCCAAAAAUGACUAUAAUUUAUUAUUUUACCUAUAUUUGGGUGUAUAUAAGGUAUCAAACACGUGAACAACCUAUUCCCAAUAACUUCUCACGAAAUUGAACCUUUCCCUCCAAAAAUCUUCUCCAUAGAAACUUGAAUAGUUGGUAAAGCUCAAGAACAGCUUGGAUCAUGAAUUACAAUGGUUUAUUCACCAAUUUUCGGAGGCCUUCAUACAGAAAAAGGUAUGGUGAUACUUCAUAUCUAAGUAAUCUUUCACUUGGAGAGUUAAUCUCAAUGUUUUCAAACAAAGUUUCAUGACCAAAGUUCUUCUUCUUCAAUCUAUCUAUAGGUUCCUUGUAAAAAUGUUUUAAAGAUUAAAUCAUGAUGAAUUAAUGUUAAUGUAUUAUUUUGAAUGUUAUUUUACUCCAAUUGCAUGAUGAACUUAUGUUCCCUCACUAAAUCCAUUUAGUCCUUGCAUGGGCUUUUUGAUCUUGACUUGUUAUCGACGAAAUUGUGAUUCUAUUAGGUUGAAUUGCUUUAACCUACUAUUAUUUACGUAAAUUUAUGCUUAAUUAUAUGUAAUGUAUCAAUGAAUAUCAAUGAAUGAAGAUUUACACAUGCUUAGCCUCAUUUUCCAUGAUUCAAUGUAACAUUGGCCUUUAAAUGAAAAUAGUGGAAUUUGAUUAUGUUAUGGUUCUUGUGGAUACUGCCUAUGAUGUAACGAGAUCAUGAAUUGUAAAUAAGUUAUUCAUAAGGAUCAAGAUCGAAUAGCCUAUGAUUCUUAUACUUUCCAUUGAUAUUAAAAAUAACAUGUUCACUGUGAUCUAGAGGUUAUAGCAUUUGUAGUAGGAUUUUGUGUUGAUUAUAUUGUCCUUAACUCCUGCCUUAUAUUGAUGAUAUUAUAUUAUCGCAUCAUUUUAAAGAAACUUGUAAAAUAGUUUCUUUUAUGAUUAAAGUACAUAUAGCUAUGAAUUGUUGAUAAACAAGAUGUAUUGAUCAAGGAUGAUCAAAGUAUGAGAAAUUGGUAAGAAUGACUCAUCCCUCUACUUUUCUAUAUUAAUGUAGUUGAUGAAGCCUUGUAUGGCAUUGUGUGGUAUGGUACACCUAUAGUGGUGUUGAUUAUCUUAUUGUCAUUAUAUAUGUGUUGACCAUGUCGUUGGAGGAAAAUUGAUGAACAUAUGAACAUGUGCUUAUGUUGAAACUAUGAGAAGUUUAUGCCUACUUUCCUAUUCUAGUUGUGAUCUAGGUUGUAUGGAUAUUGUAUAAGCAUGUAUCUAUCCAUGUUAGGGUAAAUUAUAGGUGCUUCCAUUGAUGAGUUAAAAUUGUUAAUAAUCCCUUACCUAUGUACCCUGUGUGAAUUCAUGACUAGCACAAGUUAGAAGUCCUAUGUAUAAUAUGAAGUUGACAUGUAUCCUAUGUUAUUGUGUGUUGUGUGGUGUAUGCUUAAAAGAGUAUUACGGUCUAAGAAGGUGGAGGAAUCAAUGUGUUGUUUAUAGCCAUUAUGGGAUCAUGUUGACCAAUGUACACAAACACUCACCUUACAUGCAUGCUACAACUAGUAUAGGCUAUGGUGUCUAAAUGAAAGGUAGUUCUCAUAUCAGUAAUGUCUACUAUUAUGCAUGUUACACUAGUCUCUACUACUAUGCAUAUUAAUAUGACGUUUAUGAAAAUAUGAUAUGUGUUUCCUUAGCUAGGAUGAGUUGAUAGGUGUACUAGUAUGGUCAAGGGUAUGGAUCUUUGCCUAUGCAUUGAACACGUGUACCUUGAUAGGAUAGUUCUAGUUUUUGUUUCUAUAUGUAUGAAUAUGAAUGUAUGAACGUGUGUUACUUAAUGUGUUAUGUGAAAGGUUUGCUCACAUAUAUGUAUACCCACACACACAUAAAUGAUUAUCUAGUCAAUAGAGAAUCCUUUAAAGGUGUGCCCUAGUUUAGAUCACAAGUUUAUUCUAAACUAGAUAAUUCUAAUACAUAUGCUAUGUCCAUGUUAAAGGAUCUUCUAACAUGAUUUAGGUUGUUGAACUUUCAUCUAUGACCUAUGAGCUAAGUAUAUGAGGGAAUGACUCUCUUAAGCCUAUAUUUUAUAAAGCAAUGUAGAUGGAGGUUCUUAAUAAAGGGAACUUAGCUUUGCACCUAGUGAACUUCACAAUGGGAGGUGAUGGCAUCCAAUAGAGGAAGAUUCAUCCUAUAAUUCUAUAAGUUGUAUUGACUCCCCAAAUAGAGAUACUCAUCCAAUGGAUUUCGAUGAGGAGGCCCCAAUUUCAAAGUGUCAAGAAGAGGGAAAAUACCUACUCUUAUUUCCAUAAACUAUGCUUUGCACAUAGGAUAUAGGAAGUGAUAUAACCUAAGAUGAUAGUAUGUUACUCAUUUAUUAACAUGACAAGUAAGAUGCCCUCUUUUAAGAGUCAGGAGAUAACACCGAAUUCCAUAUUUAUCACCCAUGGUCUUAGUGUUGGUUAAGGCUAUAGUUUUCCUAAGGUAAAAUUGACAAUGGAAGUAAAUUAAUAGGAUCCUAACUAGGAGGACAUAAGGUAAGUUACUUAGGAUAGUUGUAAGGAUGGUGACCUAAUGUGUAUGAUAAUGUUUAUGUCCAUAUUCAUGACUUUUUAGUAUUGGUAUACUUGUUAUAAAGAUGUUCAUGGUAUUAAUAUAUAUUAUGUUGUCUUAUCCAUAUACGAACUAUGUUGGUCUAAAUCAUUGUUGAUAUACCAUGGUUUCAUGGUCUUUUUAUUGUUUUUUCCUUAAAUUUAGUGGGUCCAAAAGCCUUUUUGUAUUAAUUUUUAUGUAGGUUUCUCCUUAUUUGCAGGAAAUUAGUCCAAAGAUUAACGCGGAUGUUUUUGAGUGAGAAAUGCAGAAGAUACCACCUACGGAGCUUGUGACAUUCCGUCGAUCUUUUGACGGUUUGUUGGUGGCAUCGUAGUGAAGAUGCUGAAGGAAGAUGGGAAGUGUGACCUAGUAUGGGAUUACGGAAGUCCACGAUGGACCUUCAUAUGCACGACGGUCUGUCCUUCUGGUUCAUCGUGAUGAUCAGAGAGUAGUCCUAGUACCCAAAUUCCAAGAAGUUUAAAGAUUAUGGAACAAAGACCCUCAACAAACCAUCGUUCUUUGAACGGUACGUCAUACCCGUUCAUUGAGGGUAGUGAAGAAAGCAUCAUAAGAAUUUGUUAAAUAUGAGACAACGGAGGCCAUGACGGCCUGUUGUGUCCACGACGGUCCGUCACGAGGUUCGUCGACCCAGACGUGUUUUGACAGAUUUUCAGUAAUGAGAAUCCUUCGUUUAUUAGGUUUUUGUUUUUAUUAUAAAAAGUUCGAAAAACCUCAUUUUUGGGGUUAGAGUUUUCGAUAGUAGAUUUUACUUUUCUAUUGUUUUUUUUCUUGCAAAACUAUCUUCCUUGUAUUCCAAAUACACGGAGAGAAAGAUAACCCUUGUUUCCCUACAAUCACGAAUUAGAGCGUACACUAUGCAAUAUGAAUCGAAACUUGAGUAUUAACGAUGAUGAUCCAACUAGAACAUCCUAGCUCUAGUUGAUGUUCAUAGUCAUUUAUUACCCGAUGAUCCUGGUGAAAAUCAACAAAGGGGACAAAAUCCCUCUCCAUGCCCUCAAGAAUACUACAGAGGUUAUGAUAAUAUUGCAGACUCUGAUGGGCCACUUGUCUUUCCCCCUCUACCACAAGGCCACACCUUUGUGGUAACUAGUAGUCUGAUGCAAAUACUCACUACUAGAGGUUUGUUUUCUAGGCUACUUUCUGAGGACGCACAUGCCUAUACAGCUAAGAUAAGGGUAGUGUGUAAAAGCUGUGUAGGGAGGCCUGAAUUGGAUUUGGAUGUAAUAGGGCUAAGAGUAUUUCCUCUCUCACUAACAGGAGAGGCUGCUAUUUGGUUCAUUGAGCUCCCUUAUAACUCAAUUUUCACUUGGAACCAACUAAAGGACAUUUUCUUAGCACAUUACUAUCUGGUCUCCUAGAAACUAAACCACAAAGACAGAGUGAACAAAUUUAUGGCACUACCAGGAGAGUGAGUUAGCAGUUCUUGGGAUAGAUUCACUUCAUUUUUGCGAAGUGUCCCCAAUCACCGCAUAGAUGAUGAGUGACUGAAGGAAUACUUCUAUCGAGGGCAGGAUGAUAAUAAUAAAGCGGUAUUGGAUACUAUAGCGGGUGGUUCUUAUGGGAGAGUCCUUAUGCCAAGAUUGCCGAAAAUUGAGAGAAAAUCUCGCGAAAUAAUAAAUCUUGGAGUACUAGGAAGUUAGAUACUGGAAGAAAUAAAUUCACAGUGCCAUCCACACACAACCCAGCCAUAGAUAAGAUUCGUGAAGAGAUAAGUCAGAUAAGAACUGAUCUUGGGUUGUUAGUAAAACAUGUAACUGGGGGUGCAAAAAAGAUAAAUGCAGUUAACUACUUUUCUAAGCCACCACCACCAAAUGAUGAAUGUUAUUAUGUGGAGGAUUUCUAUGUGGUAAAUGAGCAGACGGGGGGUUUCUGACCGAGUUCCCAAGGCUCAAAUCAGGAGAAUUGGCGCCAAGGUCAAUGAAACCAAGGUCGGAUCCAUGGUAACUAUAACCGUGAGGGUCAUUAUAUCCGAGAUGGAAAUUACAAUCACGGCAACAACAUCAACAGCGGUAACUACGGUAACAGAAGUGAUAGGAAUGGGCCAUAUGUUCCUCCUCAAAAUUGUGAAGUUACUCCUACGGAUGGUGGAGGUAGUAUGGCGCGAGUUGAGGAUAUGUUGCACUAAAUGAUGAGGAGGUUUGAUUAAACAGUUAAUGAGUGAUUUAGCGGGUAUUGGGCAGAAAGUCGAUACACAUGCAAUAUCGAUUAAGCAGGUUGAGUUGAAAAUGGCCCAAUUAUCUGCGACAGUGAAAACACGGUAACCGGGCACUCUUCCUUGCAACACUGUCCAAAAUCCAAAAAAUGAUGGAAACUAUGUGGAAAUCAACACUCAAAGUGGUAAGCAAACCAUUGACCAACCUAUGCCUUCUAAUGAGGAAAAGUUGAUAAAAGAUAAUGAUAAAGUGGUAGAGGUUGGUGAUGAAGUAGAAGAUAACACUGGAAAAGAUGUUGACGUGAUGACUACAAAUGUAACUCACAUGCCUAGACCACCACCCUCCCCUUUCUUCAAAGAUGAGUGAAAAAGACCAAGGAUAGUAAAUAUCGGCGUUUUAUAACAAUGUUGAAGCAUCUUUCAAUCAAUGUCCCUUUGGUUGAAGCUCUAGAAAAAAUGCCCGGUUAUGCCAAGUUUAUGAAAGAUCUAGUUACAAAGAAAAGAUCGGUCACUUUUGAGGAUGAUGAUAGAAUGCAGCAUUGUAGAUCUAUUCCAACAAGAUCUCUAGUAAAAAAGAAAGAAGAUACUAGUGUGGUCAUUAUUCCUUUUAUAGUUAGUUAUUAUAUUUUCCAAAAACAUUAUGUGAUCUUGUGGGAAAGAAUAAAUCUCAUGCCCUCUCGAUUUACAAGAAGUUGGGUUUGGGUGAUCCAAAGCACACUACGAUGCGUCUACUGAUGGCCGAUCAAACAGUAAAAAGACCUAUAAGGAUACUCCGCAAUGUGCUAGUAAAAGUGGAGUCGUUCAUAUUUCCGGAAGAUUUUGUUAUUCUUGAUUGUGAAGUCGAUUUUGAAGUGCCUAUUAUUCUUGGGAGGUCAUUCCUUGCUACGGUAGAGCCUUAGUUGAUAUGAAAAAUGGGCAGAUUAUUUCGGUUGACAAUGAAGAAGUGACCUUAAACAUUUGUAGGUCCAUGAGGCAGAGUAGUGAAAUCCAAUCCGUAUCUGCUAUAUCCUACAAAGCAAAGAUUAACCUGUACCAUGACCUCAAAAUUGAAAAACGAGACUUUAUGGUUAGGGAUUUUGUGCUUUUAUACAAUUACAAGUUUCACUUUUUUGUGAGGAAGCUCAAGUCCAAAUGGACUAGCGCUUACUUGAUUACCCAACUAUUCUCUCAUGGAGCAUUUGAGUAGGAAACCAAGGAGGGUGCGCAGUUUAAGGUGAAUGGACAGCGAAUAAAAACCUAUUUCGGGCAUGCUGAAUCAGCAAAUGAAGUGAUGGAGCCAUACCAUCUUGAUUAAGUCUGAGUAAUCAAGUGUAUUCAGUUGUGUCACAAAGUUAAAUCAAGCGCUAGUUUGGAGGCAACCAAAUACUUAUAGUUUUCUUUCUAGUAAUGGUAGCAUUUUGUACUAAUAGAUUUUAAAUUUGCAGGCACAUCACCAGGAAAUUCUGCAAAAAAUUACUCCGAACAUUCACCGAUGGAAACAUCGAUGGACUGUCACGCAUGCGAGAUCCAUCGUGCCAGGUACAUUUUUAAGUUAUUUUAAAAACUAAGGCACCCACGAUGGAACCCAUGAAGGACCGUCGCAUAUGCCACUGGCCGUCGUCAGGGACUCGUUGCAUCAUUAAUCAGCAACCUGACCCGACCCAGUUGGGUAAUUCUAGAAAAAUUCAACCUUUAAAACCCCUACCCCUUAAUUUGAGAGAUUUCUUUCCCUCUUUAUCUCAGUCCCUCCCUUUCUAGCUUCAUACCUUUCUCAUUCUCUUCUAUAUCAACUGAUCACUUCCCUAAAUCCCCAAUUCCCAAAAUCUCCUUUCUAUUGGUCGGAGUCUGCUGUUGUGGUUCUACUCUUCAUAACCAAGUGCCUCACUUGCUUGUUUUUCUCCUCUUCUCAGGUAUGUGUCUCUCAUCGCUACCCAUAUACAUUGCAUUUUCGUUUUUCAAUUAGUAUUAGCCUAUUUUUUGGUGGUUCUUUGUUCUUUGAUCAAAUUUUUUCAGAUCUUUGUUCAGUUUCCUCUAUUUGCCUUGUUAAAACUCUAAAAAUUGGUGCUUUAGUAUUGCUAGUUUGCAAGGUACUAGGGUGAGAAACAUGUAGGUUCACAUUAAGUAUUCCAUUUGAGUCAGAGGGGAUGAUUGUGGCAUCCUUUGUUCUAUCACUGAAUGAUAGAACGAGAACCCGAUGACAGACCGUCGUACCCACGCUUGACCGUCAAAGGGUCUGUUCCAACACACAACUAUUCAUUUUCUCUAAGUGUUCACCAACGGACACAUGCUACGGACCGUCGUUCCCAUGACGGUCCAUCCUGCACAACCGUCAUGGUUGUUAGAGACCUUAUCCUAAGGGUCUCCAACUUUUUUCUAAGUGUCCUCUAACGGACAUCUAAGACGGACCGUCAUUAUCCCGAUGGUCUGUCCAUCACAAUCAUCAUGGUUGUCAAAGACCCUUAUCCUAAGGGUCUCCAUUUUUUCCCAAGUGUCCACUGAUGGACAUCUACGGUGGAGCGUCGUACCCUCGACAGUCCGUCCUGCACAACCGUCAUGACAGUCAGAGACCCUAGUCAUAAAGGUCUCAAACUUUUUCUAAGUGUCCAAUGACAGACAACUACGACGGACCGUUAUUUCCACAAUAGGCAGUCCUGCAUAACUGUCAUGAUGGUCAGCUACACUUGUCCUAAGGGUCUCCACUUUGUUUCGAAGUGUCCACUGUACAUUUACGACGGAGCGUCAUACCCUUGACAGUCCGUCCUUCACAAAUGUCAUGAUGGUCAGAGACCCCUCUCCUAAGGGUCUCCAUUCUUUUUCUAAGUGCCCCAUGAUGGUCAUCGAUGACGGACCGUCAUUAUAACGACGGUUCGUCCUACUUAUCCAUCAUAACUGUCAGAGACUUUCCUUCGGGGCUCUCCACAUAAAAAUAGUUGAAGUAAGACAUGACGGGCCCCAUGACGCUCCAUCAUACUCACGACGAUUCAUCACCUGGUCUGUCAUAUUUCACUCUUACUACAGAAAUGUCAUUAUUGGUUUGCUCUUAUGUAUUUUUUGUGUCGUUUUUGCUUGUCUUGUUUGCUCCUUCUAGUACUAAUAAUGAUUCUUUAGGCACGUGGGCAUUCAAAGUUUACGGACGUGGGCGUUCAAAGUCUGUUUCCUUGUAUGCCCGACUAGUUAUAGGCUCUGAUAUGAACAUGAUCCCGAGUACAUUCCCUCAGGCACUGCCACUCCAGCACGAGUUGCACGUGCAACAAGAGCUACGCCCAAAAAGGUGGCACCCAGCGUAGUCACUGCCUCCGAGUCAUAUGAGGAGCGCACACUGACCGGCACAGCUUCUGGGCCGGUAGAAAUCCGUGCAUCUGACACGGCUACACAGUCUGCCUUGUCUAAUGAGGUUGAGAGUCCUGAUUCCACUCCAGGCUUACCGACUAGUAGUCUCACCCCGGUGGCCGACUAGCCCAAACAGUGGUGUGUCGACGGGCAAUACAAAGUGUAUUCAGACGCCAAGUUUCUAAAUGAUAAAGGUGUCAUGACACGGACCCUUACACUGGAUAGGAGGGUACUUACGGGAAGUCUCCCCACCAUGACAGAUAUCCACAAUCUCUUGACUAGACACCGGCUAGAGUGGACAACUCAUUCAUUGGGCCGCUACAAUGAGGAGUUAGUCCGAGAGUUUUACGGCUCUUAUGUGGCUACUCUCCGAUCACAGAUCUAUAGGCGGGUUGCCCACACAAAACACUCCCCACUUGAGCACAUCAGGGUACGCGGCAUACAAGUCAACAUCUCCCUGCCCGCCAUCUGCCGGUAUUUGUACGUAGAGGAUAUUGAUGACACCUGGACCCCUCUUACCGCCGAGUUCGACUACCGGUGGAAAAUUUUUAAAGAUGGCCAAUUCUUGCGUGAGUCAUCACUGAGAGAGACCACCAAGAGGUGGAUGGCCCUGCACUUACCUAUUGAUGGAGAGGGUGCCGACUGGGUAACGGAACCAAAAGGAGCCAUCAGAAAGGCUAACUUGACCAUCAGGGUUAAGUUUUUAUGAUUGAUUGUCUGCCACUGCCUCUCCCCCAUGACUACUUAUAAUAUUACUAAAUGGGAUCGCGCAAUUCUGAUGGCAGUGAUGAUUGCCGGGUUUGAGGUUGACUUUGCUUGGCUUCUACAGGCGGUCAUGCAUGAGAGGUCUUUCAAGGUAACCACUUCUUACCCUUUUCCGUGCAUGAUAUUUUCCUUAUGCAGGACCGCAAGUGUGACCAUCUGGCACAUUGAUCAGCUCAAGAUUCCUUUAGUCACUGCUGAUAUCGGGCUCAUCAAGGAGGAGGCCAAUGAUUUGGCUCCACGCAGAGGGCCCAGUACAAAGUUGCCUCCACUUGGUGAAAAUCUGGCUGAUACGGUAGCACAUGCUCGAAUGGCUAUGCAGGCUACUUUAAGGACCAUUGACACUACCCCUGUCGAGUCUAUCCCAGGUAAUAGCACUGCCCCUAGCUCCACUCGCUCAUCCCCUUUCCUCGCUCUGGUCCCACUUGCUAGGGUCCAGAUAUUAUAGGCUCAGAUGUCCACACUUCUACAUCAUAUUUAGUCUUGGAUACAGAGGUCUGUUGUUGAAGCGGAGGAGCGCUUGGAGCGUAAAAUGGCACAACACACAGAGUAGAUGAUCGCUGAGGUUCAUCAGCGCUUAGACGCUUUUAAGUUGCGGGUGCUGGUCUGUCCAGCCCAUCCGGUGGACGUGUAGACCCUUCAGGAUGUGAUUGAGAGUUUGCGGGUAGAUAUUGAUGUGAUCGUAGAGUCUAGGGUGCUUGAGUCUGAGGCUCCUUCUGCAGAGCCUACUGAGGACACAAUGGUUGCGGCUUUAUUCACCACUUCUUAGAUUCCACCACCUCACCCUUGAGAGCAUUUUAAGAGGCGUAGGGGUCGAAUUAAGAAGGAGGCCAAAGCAAGGAAGAUGGAGCGCCGUGAGAUGAAGGCAGUGAGAAGUAGCGUCAGAUAAGGGUUGUAGAUUGAGCUGCUAGGGCAUCUAGCUCCAGAGAUGUGGAGAAAGCGGGAGGCACUAGUGAUAGUGUUGUUGCUGAUGAGGACACUAUUGAGGGUGUCCAGAAUACAUAGGUAAUGGGUUCCAGGGAACCGGACUCACUUGCUUGCUGUUCGCAAGCGCUUUGCGCCGCUUGUUUGAUUCACCUACCACUCUCGUAUUUAUAUUUUUUUUAUGCAUUGGGGUCAAUUGCAUAUAUUUUUUUUGGGUGUGGGUAAAUGGAAAGUGAGUGCUAGGGAGAAGUCUGAGUAGUCCAAUUCACCAUCCUCUCUUGGGGUUUUCUUGCCUGUGUUCUUUUUCCCCAAGAGACUUCUAUUUUUAUUGUUGAACCGGCAUAUCUAUAUCUUGUGUACAUAAAAUAACUCUAAAGCAUGAUGGCUAAAAAAAUGAUAUUCUGAUGUAAUGAAAAUGAUGUAUGGCUAGGCACAGUAAUUGAAAAAUGUGAUCCUCUAAGAAUGACAUAGAGAUAGACCACUGAAUGACCCUAAUUCUAAGACUCAAACUUGGUGUCUGAUAAUCUGGUAGAGUAAUAAGAUGUCUAGUGAGUGUAAGGAAGAUUUGAAAAGUCCACUAUUUGUACUGAGCUAGAACUUGCCUAGUUAGUCCUGCUAAAAGUAAGUUGUAAUUGACGAUUAGGAAAAUAUCAUAGACCCCUGUUAAGUAUAGCCAAUUUUUAGCCUAAAUAAAAUUAAAAAAAAAAAUUAAAUUAGUUUUCUUUGAUCCAAAUGAUUUGAGCUUAAAAUAGACCUUUCUUUUUCACCCCAACUGAUCUUUUUUGGGAAUAAUAUGUUGGCCCUGGUCCCUCACCUUUUCAUGGCACUGACACAACUUUGGGUAUUGUGUACUUUGACUCAUGGCAAAGCCAUGAGUUGAGGGUGGCUAUUAUGAGGAAUGCUCUAGAAAGUGGGGUUGAAAGAACAAAGAGAGAGAAAGAACAAAAGUAAAGUGACCAAAAAAAAGUUGAAAAAAGUGAAAUAAAAAAAAAUAUAGCAAAGUACUACCAAGAAAGAAAAAGAGUCACUUACACAAAUGAAGAAAGAAUGAUAAAUAGCAAUGUGAAAAAAUAUGAGAAAUUGGGCAAAAUAUGACGAUAAAAAGUGGUACAUUUAGACGAUAUGUCAAGGAGGGAAAAAGUCACUAAAGUAUACCUAAAUAUACCCUACCUGACCCUCUGCCUAUGUUACAAUUUAAGGAAGUUCUAUCGUGAUCCUUAGAGUUGUAUGGCGAACUUAAAGCAGUGAAAAUAAGGGCAAGCUUAUGGAAAUAUGUAUGAAUGAAUUGUGAAUUUUAUUUCUGAUAGUGAGUGUUGAAAAGUAAUCCUUAUACUCAAACUCAAAUCAUUGUGUGAAAAAUGAGGAUGUUGUUUUGAAGUGAGGACACUAGUUGCAAUAUCGAAAAUAUUAGCACCUCGGUAAAAAAUUGAAGAGUAUAGGUGGCAGUGCGUGGUGAGUCUGUGUCAUUGUCUGGUUCCACAUAAUCCAGGACUAAUAUUGAUAACAUGCAUAAAAAUGAUGAGACUGAUCGGGAUUGAUAGCCAAAUGAUUGUGAAAGCUAAAAUAUGGAUACUAUUGUACAAAGAUUUUGUAGUGAGUCAUUGUGCGUCGCUUGAGGACAAUAAUGAAUUUAAGUUUAGGGUGUUGAUAUACCGUGGUUUCACGGUAUUUUUAAUUCUUUUUGCUUAAAUUUAGUGUGUGUCCGAAAGCCUUUUUGUGUUUAUUUUUAUGUAUGUUUCUCCUUAUUGAUUGAAGGAUUAAUUUCAGCAAAAGUUGAUUAUUAGUGCUUUUGUUGAUUAAUCUAGUGAAUUUUUGGAUUUUAUUGUUUCUUAAGAAAGUAAGUGCAUUAAUUCUUAUAUUAAAUAUAUGAAUAAUGUGAUUAUGACUAUGGGUAACUAAACUCCAUAACUACGGUUGUGGGAACCAUGGGUGAAUAAUGAGGUAAAAUCUAACUAAAAUAGCAAUUCUAGAAUAGUGUCUUGCAUGUAUUGAUAAUUCUUUAGUUUAGAUGUAUUUUUAACGGAUGGCCAACCUUAGAACUUGCCUUAAAGCUACUUGCCUGACAAAGGAGGUAGAUAAUAGGAAAACAAUAAUCAACAUAGAUUUAGUGUACACUAUCUAAUAGCCUAUUGUCAAUUGGUAUGAGGUAAUAACUUAGUAAAAUAUUGAAUACAAUGCCUAAUAUGAGGAAAAGAUAAGGGUUGGUAUAGCAAAACAUGUAGCCGGACCAAGGUACGGAGUGAAAUUUUCUAGAUGCGUGACCAAGGAUUUAUAGAUACAUAACUUGUCACUUUACAUGCAAGAUACUAGGAAAAAAUUGUUACAGUUAAAAUUAUCAAGUUAGGAACACGUGGGGAACACUUAAUCCCUAGUUACUUUUAUUAAUUUAUUAAGCUCCAAGAUUUUAAUUUGCUAGUUGUUUAAUCUAGUUAAUUAUUUUCAUUAAUUUAAAAAUAAAAAUCACCCCCUUUAUUGUUUUAUGUUUUCUAGGGAAAUAAUUGACUCAAUAAUAGUAAUAAUAGAAUAAAGUUAAGUCUAUACUAUUUUCCUCGUGGGAACGAUACCAACCUCAUUAGUUGGGUUCUAUACUUGAUACGACCACUUAAAUUCUUAUUUGAGAAUUAAGUUUGAUCAUAUCAACUGUAUGAUGAAGGUCUUGUAUUGACAUGAAUGAAGUUCCCUUCACUCAUUUGUUGAUGUAGGAACUGAAUGGUUUGUGGUCUCAUAAAGGGUUUACUAAGAAUGUAUGGGUUAUAGGGCUCCAUAUGUUCAUUGCACUAGUAGACAAAGAAUGUGGUCAUGAACAAGAUCUUAUAAUUAGGUAUAUGAAAAGAAUUUAUAAUAUGUACAAAUGGAAGUAGCUUAUUGUAAAGCAAAAGGAAUCUUGAGUUAAAUGUGUCUUGAUAUAUUAUGCUUUUAUGAUGAUAUGUGUUGCCUUAUGUAGGUCAUAUAUAUGUUUUCCUUGUGACCUUAAGGUGAUGCAUUUCACCAAGUAUCACUAAAGGGUUACAUGGGAGGUUAAUGAAUAUAAGAAAGGAAUGCUUACUAUUAAACUAAAAAAGCUCACUGUAAAGUGACCUCAAUUAUGUCUUAAAUCAUAUUUAUGAUCUUAUGUAAUGUUUGAACUUUUAAUAUGUUUAUAUGAAGUAUGUGAAUGAUAUAAAUGCUAUUGGAUAAAGGUUUAUAAAGAUUUUCUCCAAAAUUCAUGAUGUAUGAUUUUAAGAUAAUGUCCCUUUUAAAUGAAUGUUUUUGCAUGGUUGCCAUAGUUAGUUAAUUCUUAUACUAAUCCCAUUGUUCUCUAAUUUCUACACAAAGUAUAGGUCAUGGAUGCUUAAAGGAGGUCUAUGAUUGGGUAUCUUGAUUUGUGAUUCCCAAGCUAAAGGAAAGGAGUCCUUAAGUCCUAGGAUUCUCUACUCAUGUCUUACUGUAAAAUGUUUAAAGAGUGUAUAGUUAUUUGUUAUGUUUUAAGGGUCGUGUCCCUAAUGUAUUCUAAUGUUGCUGAGUCUAAGAUUGCAAACAUACUUAGAGUUUAAGUAUGUUAUAUGGUAUUUUUUAUAUAUAUGAAGUUAUUUUUCUAGCAUAUGAUGUUUUAUGUAGAUUUUUAAAUUUUUUGCUAAAUUUUUUACGUCAACGCGAUGAAUGUUAACUAUGGGUUGUAUAAGACCCCCAAGAGGUCAAGUACGCCAUGUUACUUGUAGGAGUUGCUCCCUAGAUGUGACAAAUGUGGUAUAACAUCAUGAUGUUUUAAAAGUGGUUUAACAUCCAAGAAGUCUCAUAUUGCCAACAUCUAGUAGAGUCUUGUAUCAUUGGUGGUGAGUCGUGACGCAUCAAAUGGUACGAGAGGCUAUUGGAAGAUAGAUUUUCCCUUCCUCAUCAUUACCAUAUCGUUCUAUAGAACUAAACUCUAUAAGAUCUCUCUCUUAUGUUUUCUUAUGCGACGUUUUUUUAGAUGUGAUCGCUUAGAUGAGAGUUUUCUCUACGCUUGAGGGAGAAAAGGUAAAUUUAAAUUUUAUCUUUUUUUUAUAGUUGAAUGAGUAUGUGUGAGGGUGAAUUUUGGCAUAUUUUGAUGAUGUGAUGCCAAUUAUGGCUAUAUAAGAAACUUAUGUGGAAUAGCAACUUAUAUUAAGAAAUGUAUGUCAUAAUAUAGUUAAAGCAUACUAGAAGCUAUUAUGAUUAAAAUGAUUUCUUUUGGAUGGAUGAGUUCCUAUAUGAUUUUACAUGAUGGUAGCUUAAUAUUGUGAUUUAAACUUGAAAUGAUUAGUUACUACCUAUGAAAGCAUGCUACCCUACCAUUUUGUACUUAAGGGUGUUAAAUGUUUCCCUUUGUAUAUAUGUGGUCCUUGAUAAGUUGCCUAGCAUGGGUUGGAGUCCUUUAUAUAGACUUGAUCCUAGGUGUGAUGAUUGUAUACUUGUCUUGGUAAAGAUUUGUAUCGCAUAUUUUCAUGAUUUUUCCCAUCAAUUGCCUGAAUGUUGCAUUUUGGAAUUUGAAAGCAUGUUCUCUGUAAUGAUAGGCAACUUAAUGUUAGAUUUUUUUUGCGAAAUCAACUAAAUUGUUUUGAUAAGAUGUAUUUGAAAUGUGUAUAGAAUUGAUGCGUACGAGCAUAAUAAUGAAUAUAAAAAGGAGAUUUGUUGUUUGGAAUAAAGAAUGAGAGCCUUAUGGAAUGAUGAGUUGUGGAUUUGUUAAUAACUUCUUAUUGUGUUGUGAGUCCCUUUUUGUUGUGGAAUUGAUUUUUCCCUAAAAUUGAGGGUAGUACUCUUAUCUUUGUAAGGUGAUGAAGUGGUUUUGAUUGACGUAGAAGUAACCUUACAUUAAUGAUGAAAGAAAAGAAGAGACCUUAAGACUAAGUCUCCUAUAUUGUUUCCCCUAAUGAUGUAUGACCUUGCUGUCUCUUGUAUUGUAUGAAAACCUUAUGUGGUUAAAUAGUAUGACCUAACUUGAUAAUUGGGGAUAAAUUUCCUAGAUGAUAAGGUUCAGAAUACCUUGGUGUUCUUAUGAUAACUUACUGUAAUUCCUUUUAAAGUGAUAAUCACUUUUAAGUGAUGAAAAUGAAGGUUGAUAAGUUAAGAUCCUCUUAAGUUUGGGUUAAGUUACUCUUAAUUGGGUUUACCCUAAGUAGGGGAUGGUUAUGGAGUAGUAACGUUGUAGAUAUUUUCUACAUUGUCCUUCUAUCCUUACUUCAAGUUGACUCUAAUGAAUUUUUAGUAAGCUUGUUCGUGAAUAAGAGUUUUGUACAAAUUAUGAAUUGCAUGACCAUUAUAUGUUUGGUAUGUAUUGAUUGGCAUUACCUUAAAGAUAUUGUUAAAACUCCAAGUUGCAUGAAGGAAAUUUUUUUAUAAAAUCCAUGUUUUCUUAUGUUGAUUUGCACCUUGAUAUGAUAAUUGUGCAUUCGACUUCAUGAGAUAAUAUAUGAAACAUGGUAAAGUCACUUGUGAGGUGAAAUAUUUAUCCUUGUAAUUAAAAGUUGAAUCUUUUUAAAACAUAAAUAUUUUGAGUCUGUUGAAAAUUAUGUGACUUGUAUAGUUUGGGAAGCAUGAUUGUAGGCUCACUUUUGAAAAGUGAAAGAAUGUUUAGCUAAGUGUUAAUGUGUUUGCCUGUGAUUUGUGUGAUUCUUCUCAAAUGAUACUUUUUGUUAAGGGAGUACUAUGUUAGAAAUUGGCAUUUUGUGAAAUUGCUUCCUAAUUGUUGAGAUUUACUUGGUGUGAUAUAGCAUUUAGACUUCACUAGGAAGGAAACAUGAGCAUGCCUUGGUUUAAAAUUUGAGAAUUUCUCAUCUUUAGAGGAAAUUGACCAUGUACUUGUCUUAGGUGUGAACUCAUGAUACAUGUAAGUGUGUCGAGGAGAAGCACAGUCCUCCAUGGACACCACUAAGCAUUGUAUGGUUGAGUAUGGCCUUCAUGACACUAGGUCUAACUAGUAAAGAUCUUUAUUUAUUCAAUUAACUCAAGUCUAUGUGCAUUGAAGUAUGAGUUCCUAAUUUCUUCUUGAGUGUUAUUGAAAUCUGCCUAUGUGACUUAAAGAGUAGUUGCAAAAAUAAUGACCAUGUUAUGAUUAGGAGAAGGAUGUUCCUCCUAUGAACAUGAUAAGAGCCUUUGUGUUUGAUUUAUUAAAGAGUGAGUGAUUAAUGGUUUUACUUUCUUGUGUGCAUUCACUGCUAAAAUGAUUUGAUGAUGUUAUAAACGAUAUGAACUGCUCUAUGAUGCAUUGAAUUCCUUGUUGUGAAUAACGUAUUGUAAGUGUCAUUCUAGGACGAAUAUUCCCAAGUGGGGGAUAGUGUAAGACCUCAAAAUGAGUUAGGCUGUCUAGAGCCUAACAUGUUUAUCUUAAGGUUAAAAGGUACUAAAAUGAAUUAUAAUAUGGUUUAGAGGCAGUGUGUAAAGUUUGAGGUGAUUUUGAAGUCGAUCAUCAAGGGACGACCAUAACGUUCGGCGACUAGUCACCUAUGUGCCUCAUGUGUCUAUGUGUGAUAAUAUAUAUCAUGUAAUGAGAUUAUAAAGUAUUAAAAUUAUUUAUAAUGAUGUACAAAUAUGAGAUAUGUAGUUUUGUGAAUUUUGGAGGUCAAACAAUUAAGAACGUCCAAGGCGUUCGAAAGACUCAAGUGUGUCUUGAUGGGGCCUAGCCUAUUAGGACGAGUUGAGAGUAUUGGUUUUGGGUGAAAAUAAUCUGGGAGUUACAAAAAUUUUUAAGGAUUUUAUUUACGUUUGAAACAUCUGGGUAUGAUUUCUAUAGUGCCCCGUAAAAGGGCCCACAAGAAGAACCCAAAGUUGUCGAAGACACUGCCAUGGCAGUGCCAAUCGAUGGACCAAACGACGGCCAGUUGGUUCACCAACGGCCCGUUGAUGAGGUAUAGUCGAUGGAAACUUAUAUUGGGCAGGUAUCAACCCAAAAAAAGUCCAAGGUCCAACCGACAGAAACAAAAGGACAGCCAGUCGAUUGACCAACGGACUGUCGAGUUCUAUCGAUGGUGGCCUUCAACACUGUCUAGCACACUUUUUUAUAUAAGGGGUGAAUGUGCAUUUCACCCCAUGUCCGAAAGUCACUAUAAUUGAUUAAUUUACCUAUAUUUGGGUGUAUAUAAGGAAUCAUACACGUGAAGAACCCAUUCCCAAUCCCUUCUCACAAAAUUGAACCUUUCCCUAAAUAUUCUUCUCCCUAGAAACUUCCAUUGUAUGUAAAUCUCAAGAACAGCUUGGAGCGUGUAAUAUGGUUUAUUCACCAUGUUUUAAAGGUAUUUAUGCAUAUAAAGGUAUGGUGAUCCUUCAUCUAUAAGUAACCCUUUACUAUGAGAGUUAAUCUCAAUAUUUGAGAGAAAGUUUCAUGAUCAAAGUUCUUCGUUUUCAAUCUAUCCAUGGGUUCCUUCUCAAAAAGUUUUUUACAAUUAAAUAUGGAUGAAUUGAUGAUAAUGUAUUGGUUUGAACGUGAUUUCACUCCAAUUACAUAAUUAACCCAUGUUCACUCCCUAAAUCGAUUUAGUUCAUGCAUGGGCUUUGUUAUCUUUACUUGUUAUCCAUGGAAUUGUUAUUCUAUUACGUUGAAUUGAUUAUACCUACUGUUAUUUACGUGAUUUAAUGCUGAAUUGUAUGUAAUGGAUCCAUGAGUAUCAAUCUAUGAAGAUUUGAACAUACUUAGCCUAGUUUUCCAUGAUUCACUGUCACAUUGGCGUUUUAUGAAAAUAGUGGAAUUCGAUUAUGUUGUGGUUCUAGUAGAUAAUGCCUAUGAUUUAAUGAGAUCAUUAAUUGUAAAUUAGUUAUUCAUUUGGAUCAAUGUCGAUUAGCCUAUGAUUCUUCUACUUUCCAUUGAUGUCAAAAAUAGCAUGCUCACUCUAAUCUACAGGUUAUAGCAAUUGUAGUAGGAUUUCGUGUAGAUUACAUUGUCCUUAACUACUGCCUUAUAUUGAUAAUAUUAAUAAAUUGUGGGUAAGAAUUCUUGAUGAUCAAAGAAAAGGAGUCUUUGGAUGAAUUGAUCUAGGUUCUUCUAGCCUACAAUUUGAAUGUUGUAAUGAACAUUAUGUGAUCUUAAUUCUAGGGUAGAUGAAACAUUAUUUAGAUUUGAUCUAUAUCUAUUUAGAUACUUCCAUAAAUUUAUAUUAGUGAUACACGAUGAUUGAUGAUCAAAACUAGGGAAUUUACUUGAUGAUCUAUAACUCUCUACUUUCUAGUGCAUGUGAGAUGCCUUGUAUUAUAUUAUAGCAAGAUCUUGUAGCAACAUGUACAUGGUUUAUUUUAUGAUUAAAGCACAUUAAUAUAAUUCCCUAUAUAUAUAUAUAUAUAUCAAUUGUUGAUAAACAAGGUGUAUUGAUCAAGGAUGAUCAGAGGGUGAGAAAUGGGUAUAAAUGGCUCAUCCCUCUACUUUUAUACAUCAAUGUAGUUGAUAAAGCCUUGUAUUACAUUGUGAGGUAUGCUCCACUUAUGAUGGAAGUGUUUACCUUAUUGCCAUAAUAUAUAUGUCUUGACCAUGGCCUUGAAGGCAAAUUAAUGAAAAUAUGAACAUGUGUUUAUGAUGAUAUUAUGAGAAUUUUAUGCCUACUUUCCUUUUCUAGAUUUGAUAUAAGUUUUAUGGCUAUUGUAUAAGCAUGUGUAUAUCCAUGUUAGGGUAAAGUAUAGGUGCUGCCAUUGAUGACUUAAAAUGGUUAAUAGUACCUUACCUAUGUACCCCUAUAUGAAUGCAUGAAUAGUACAAGUUAGGAGACUUAAAUGUAACAUGAAGUUGACUCAUCUCCUAUGCUAUUUAGUGUUGUAUGGUCUAUGCUUGAAAGAGUAUUAUGAUUUAAGAGGGUGGCUGCCUCAAUGUGUUUUUAUUAGCCAUUAUGUUAUCAUAUUGACCAAUGUACAGACACAGUCACUUUAAAUGCAUGUUAUAAGUAGUAUAGGUCAUGGUCUGAAUGAAAGGUAGUUCUCAUAUUCAGUAGUGUCUACUACUAUGCAUUUUAAGAUAAUGUUUAUGAAAGUACGAUAUGUGUUUCCUUAUCUAGGAUGACUUGAUAGGUGUACUAGUUUGAGAAUAUGGGAUUUAGCUUAUGCAUUGCACACGUGUUACUUGAUAGGAUAGUUCUAGUUUUUGUUUCUCUAUGUAUGAAUAUGAACGUAUGAAAAUGUGUAGCUUAUGGUGUUAUGUGAGGUUUUCUCACAAAUAUGUAUACACACAAACAUUAAUGAAGACCUUGUCAAUAGAGGAUCCUUGAUAGGUGUACUCAAGUGUAUACUAAACUAGAUAGUGCUAAUACAUAUGCUAUGUCCAUGUGAAUGGAUCUUCUCACAUGAUUUAGGUUUAUGAACUUUCAUCUAUGAUGUAUUAGCUGCAUCUGAGGGGAUAAAUCUCCUAAUCCAAUAUUUUAUAAAUUAACUUUAAUGAAGGUUUUUGAUAAAAAAAAAUAACAUAGCUUAGCACCGAGUGAACUUUACAAUGAGAGGUGAUGGCUUCAUAUAGAGGAAGAGUCAUCCAAUAAUCAUAUAAGGGAUAUUUACUCCCAAAAGAGGGAUACUCAUCCAAUGGAUUCCCAUGAGAGGAGGCCCCAAUUGCCAAGUGGCAUGUACAGGGAGAAUACCUAUUUCUUAGUUCCAUAAACUAUGCUUGCCACAUAAGAUCUAGAAAGUAAUAUCACCUAAGAUGCUAGUAUGUUACUCAUGUCUUACCUAGGCAAGUAAGAUGCCCUCUUUUUGGUGUGAGGGGAUAACCCAAAAUUCCAUGUUUAUCACCCAUGGUCUUAGUGUCGGUUAAGGCUAUAAUUUCCGUAGAGUAAAAUGGACGGUGGAAGUAAAUGAAUAGGAUUCUAACUAGGAUGACAUGAGGUAAGUUACUUAGGAUAGGUGGAAGUAAUGAACCAAUCUAGACAUUUCACAAGUAUCUCUAUAGGAUGUCCUAGGAAGGUGACCUUAUGUGUAUGAUUAUGUUUAUGUCCAUAUGCAUAACUUUGUAGUAUUGGUCUACUUGUUAUGAAGAUGUUCAUGGUAUGAAUCUAUAUGAUGUGGUCUUACCUUUAUAUGCACUAUGUUGGUCAAAAUGACUAUAUGAUGAAGGUCUUUAAUUGACAUGAAUGAAGUUUUCUUCACUUAUUUGUUGAUGUAUGGAUAGAAUUCUAAGGUUUGUGGUCUCAUGAACGGUUUACUUAGAAUUUAUGGGGUUAUAGGGAUCCAUAUGGUCCUUGCAUUAGUAGACAAAGAUUGGGAUCAUCAACACGGUUUUAUAAUGAGGUAUAUGAAAAGAAGUGAUAAUAUGUACGAUGAAAAGUGGUGUUUAACUUGACCUUGGUACCAAAACCUUUUUGGAAUGACAUCCAAAACCUAGAUGUGAAUUGUGCACCCCUAUUUGAUAUAAUGGAUAAGGGAAAUACCAUGGCGACACAGAAUCUCAUCUAUGAAGAUCCUUGUAUAGUCCUCCGCUGAGUAAGUAGACUUGACGGGAAUAAAAUGGUCUGAUUUGGUCAACCUAUCCACACCCACCCAUAUGGAGUCAUAUUGAUUUUCUGUCCAAGAAAAUCCUACCAAAUAAUCAAUAUUAAUGUCUUCACUCUUCCAAGUAGGAACUUGGAUUUCUUGAUGUAAACCACCGAACUUUUGGUGUUUGACAUUCACUUGUUGGAAAUUUGGACAUUUUGCAACUAAUUCUGCUGAGUCCUUUUUAAGACUUCCCAGCAAAACAUUUCCCUAAGGUCCUGAUACAUCUUUGUAUAACCCGGAUGAAUAGACUAACGGGAUCCAUGAUUUUCCUCAAAAAUCCGAUUCCUCAAGCCAUCUACAUUGGGAACGCACAACCUUUCUUGAAACCUCAAGAUCCUUCCCCCUAAGGACAAUUACUCAUUACCCUUACCAAGAACCGAUUCUUUCAACUCCAUUAAUUGUUGAUCAAGGUUUUGCUUUGAUUUACCUUAACCACCAAAGAUAAUUUGGAGUUAUGAUGGACCAUAAAACCACCAUUUUAAGAAUCAUCCAAUCUAACAACCAAUCUUGCCAUCCUAUGAACAUCUUUCAUUAUUUCUUUAUUGACUUCAUCUACAUGAGACACACUACCAAUGGCCAUUUGACUUAGAGCAUAUGCAACCACAUUGGCUUUGUCGGGGUGGUAGAAAACACUCAUUUCGUAAUCUUUCAACAAUUUCAAACACCUUUUUUCUCAAAGAUACAACUUCUUUUAAGUAAACAAAUAUUUUAGACUCUUGUGGUCGUUAUACACAUCCACAUGGAUACCAUACAAAUAAUACAUACAUAUUUUCAAGGCAAAUACAAUAGCCACUAACACAAUAUCAUGAGUUGGAUAGUUCUUUCCAUGCACCUUAAGUUGUCUAGAGGCAUAAGCUACUACUUUGUCAUGUUGCAUAAGCACACACCCCUAACCCACUCACAAUGCAUCACAAUAUACAAUGAAGCCCUUAAUACCCUCUGGUAAAGUCAACACUAUGGCGGAGUUAUGCCUAUCCUUCAUAAUUUGGAAACUUCUUUCACAUGCCUCCGACCACUCAGAUUUCAUACUCUUUUGGGUCAAAGAAGUCAAGGGAGAUGCAAUGGACGAAAAAUAAUCUACAAACCUCCUAUAAUAACCCUCUAGAUCCAACAAACUCCUAAUGUCGGUUGGAGUCAAUGACAUAGGAAAAUUUUUCACCACCUCGGUUUUCUGUGAUCAACCUCAAAUCCCUCACUAGAGAUGAUAUGAAAAAUAAACAUCACCGACCUCAACCAAAACUCACAUUUGCUAUAAUUGUAAAAUAAUUGAUUCUCCUUGAGCACUUGUAACACCACCCUCAAGUGAUCCAUGUGUUCACCCUCAUAUUUCGAUAUGUUAAGAUGUCGUCAACGAAAACAAUGACAAAGGAAUCUAAGUAACUUAGAAACACUCUAUUUAUGAUAUCUAUAAAUGUUGUCGGGGUAUUAGUGAGACCAAAGGACAAUACUAAGAACUCACAAUGACCAUUUUAGUACGAAAAUGCCAUUUUCUAUAUAUCCUCACCUCUCACCCUAAGUUGGUGAUACCCCGAUCUCAAGUCAAUUUUAGAAAAGUGUCUUGCCCCUUGGAGUUGAUCAAACAAGUUGUGCAUCCGAGGGAGACGAUACUUGUUCUUAAUAGUGACUUUAUUGAGGUGCCUAUAAUCAAUGCACAUUUUAAGGGAUCAAUCCUUCUUCUUCACAGACAAAUCAGGAGCACCCCAUGGAGAAACAGUAGGUCUAAUAAAUCCUUUGUCUCGUAAAUGUUUGAGUUGAGCCUUCAACUAUUUCAAUUCGGUCGGAGCCAUCAAAUAAGGAGGAAUAAUACUGAUAUUGAUAUCUUUUAGAAAAUCAAUACCAAAAUCAAUUUCCUGUUCGGGAGGGAUUCCGUGAAGAUCAUUAGGAAACAUCUCUAGAAAUUCCCUUACUACGAGCACUAACUCAAUGGGAGGAUUUUCGGAGUCUAACUCUUUGACUCUUACAAUGUGAUAUAGACAACCUUUUGAGAUAAUUUUACAACCUUAAGAAAAGAUAUAAUAUGACAUCUACAAAUAAAAACUUCCCCUUCAACUCUAAAACGUGUUCAUUUGGAAAUUGAACUUCACAAUUCUAAUUCCACAAUCAAUGAAGCAAAAAAUUCAAGCAACCAAUCCUUCCUCAAAAUGACAUCAAAAUCAACCAUAUAAAGGUCUAAUAGUUCAACAUAAGUAACUCAAUUCCCUUACAAUAACAAAAACAAUUAUCCAUUCCCUCAAAAAAAAAUCACCAUAUGCUUCUUGCCACACUUUCAACAAGUUGGCUUCUUGUUUGGUGAGCUUGUACCUAUUCCCUUUUGAUACAUAGUGAUAGACACACUAUCAUCACGAGACUUGGAAAUUUAGAAGGAACUUUAUUAUAAGACCUCUUCUUGAACCUAUUCUUGUCUUGGAUAUCAAGCUUACCCUUGGAAAAACCACCUUCAUAAGACCUUGCCCUCUUUGCGUCCCUACUCUUUCUCUUAACCCUGUGUCAUCCACUUGUUGAUCAUGAACCAUGAGAAGAUAAUUUUUCAUAUUAUCAUGUAGCAUAGCCGAACAACAUUAUUCCUUCAAUUCAUCCAACACCCCCAUCACAAAGAGCCUCCUUUCAUAGCAUACUUUGAAAAUUUAGUAAAUUUCAAUGAGUAGUACACUCAUACCUUCUUGACGAAUAUUGAUGAUUUCUCCACUUUGGCUUCCCUCUUAUCCCUAGAAAUAACCUAUCAAGGAAGGACUUCUUUAAAAUAUCCCAUAUCACUGGUCCACCUCUGAAAUGAUUAUAGUCUCUCCAUUGUACUUACAAAGAUUGGGCCACAUCAUUGAGUUUGUAAGUUGCUAACUCGGCCUUAUCACUAGUAGUAAACCCCAUAGCAUAAAAAAUCUUAUAGGUCUCAUCAAUAAACUCUGGGGGUUCUUUCUCAACUUUCGACCCAUAGAAAGUAGGGGGAUUUAUCCUUGUGAAAUCCCUCAAACGGGAGUCCAUGGUCCCCACAUGUUGGUUUUCUCGGGAUAUAACCUCCCGGUUAGUUUGGGCUGUCACGACUUAGGCUUGAGUAGUGAUGGCUUGUGUUUGAGUAAAUAAUGUAUUGGGACAUUAGCAUAAAGGCUGAGCUUAUGUCUCCAUCUGUCAAAGGAUGACGAGAGCUUGGUCAUCAUUAGAAGCUUCUUCAAGAGGAGGGACUUGAUUGACUUUGAGAGGAACUACUACAUUGGCAAUCUCUUUAUCAAGUCUUUGAGUGGAUAUUCUUCGAGUAGUCAUUGCCUAUGAUCACAAUAAAAGGAUUAGAUGCUAAGGGCAGAAUAGAGUCAAACUCGUAAGGCACGAUAUUAGAUUUCCAAGAAAAGGUGAAUUUACUAAGCAUCAUGGAGUUUGCUUUUCAUAAGUAAGGCACGCUUCACAAUUAUAAAUCAUAAUCUGCAUCAAUGUGGUUAAGUGAGACAUCGACUCUAAAUAUGUUCAACUUCAUGUUGUGAUACCAAAUUUGCCACACCCUGGGAGCACCCCAUAUACGUAACCAGAAUCUUCAUCCUCAUCGAGAAUAAAGACUAGCAUGUUAGCUUACAUUAGUACAUUCAUAUGUUAAAAAUGCGGAUAAUUUAAAACUUUUACAUAGACCUUUCGCAUACACAUACUAUUUUUGUAUCGAAUAUACAUAGACAAUUCGUGUAAGAAGAAUACAUAGUCUUCUACUUUUAUUUCACAUAUACAUAUAUAAGAUAUAAUAUAGUAUUAAAACCGGAUGUCUCAUCUCAUAACCAUCUAAACAAGAGUAUAACACUUUGGCAUAGCCCAUAAAUCAAUACAAUAAGAGUCAUAUAUAGGAUAUACAAACAUUAGUCUCAAGUGAAAGGAAGUGAACGUAUUGUUUUUACGACUAAUCAAUAUCCAAUGCUAGAAAAUGGCAUUGUCCUCGAAGUAGUGAGGACCUACCCAACUUGGAGAAUGAGAAUCAAUGUCUUCCUUCAAAAUCUGUCAUAAGCCCUUCAACGACCGGAACUUUAAAUGUAACAUCAUACUUUAACAAUAGAGACCAAAAACAUAUUAAAAAGUUAAAUUAAUAUCAUAUAGUAUCGUUGACAUGUAAGAUCAUCAUAUACAUAUCAUUUUCAUUUAUAAGCAGUCCAUUUAAAAGAACAUACUUCUAAGACUUCCAUCGGCUAACUAGUUCAAUGUGUUGGUAGAAUCUCAUACCCCUACCUUGACUAAGCUAAACCCCUUAGCUCAUCCUAGUUAGAGUUCAUUCCUUUACAUCAUUUUACCUUUUGGCAAAAUCUUGACUUAACCGACAUAGAACACAUGAGCUAAUAUGGAAUCUGGUGUCAUGAAACCCUACACCAAAAGAAGGCAGGCUACUUUGUCAUACGCUCUAUAUAUCUAUGUGCAAUAAAAGUACAAGACUAAGUAAUAUCCUAUAUCAAGGGUUUAUGUAUACUUGAUAUAUAUAUAUAUACUAUAUGUUUGUAGAUGUCUACGUAAACCUCAGAGUAGAAGAAAGAAAAGUUUUACAUUUAUGCUAAAUUUGACCUAUGAAUGUAAUGAUGUAAGCUAAGACGCUAGUCUUAGUCCUCAAAGCAGUUACAUCAAGGGGGUUUUCCCUGAUGUGAAAAACUUUGUAUUAGAGCAUAAGGUUAAAUAUCUAUGAGUCGAUGUCUCUUUAAACCACGUCUAUAUAGGUUUGUAUUUAUAAUUGUGUAGCGUGCCACACUUAUGAAUAGGAAUUUAUGAUAUGCUUAAGAAACUUUCACUUCCUUGGAAGUCCAAUAUCGUUUCUUUAGAGUGUUAGCUCUAUGUUCAUUAGAAUCUAUCCUUUUAUUGUGAUUAUAGGUAAUGAAUACUCGAAGGAAUGCGGUAUUAAGAGUUGAAGAAGAGAUUGUCAAUGUGGGAGUCCCUCCCGUGGUGAUCAAGUUCCUCCUCUUGAGGAAGAUAUGUAUGAUGAAAAAUCUCCAGUCAAUCCUCCUUUGACGGAUGGUGUCAUCUGGGCUGCUCUUUUCCAAAUGUUCCAAGCCAUUACUACCCAAACACAGGCCGCCACUACUCAAGCCCAAGCCAUGAAUACCCAAGCUAAUCGGGAGGUGGUACCCUGAGCUCAUUAACAAAUUGCUACCAUGGACUCCCGUCUAAGGGAUUUCACUAGGAUUAAUCCUCCUACUUUUUAUAGGUCUAAGGUUGAAGAAGACCCAUAAGAUUUGAUUGAUCAAAUCCAUAAGAUCAUCUAUGGCAUCGAGUUGUCUACUAGUGAGAAGGCCGAGAUAGCCACUUACCAACUCAAAGAUGUCGCCCAAACUUUGUAUUUCCAAUGGAGCGAUAAUAGGUCGUUAAGGGGUGGACCAGUGACUCGGAAAAUUUUCAAGAAGGCUUUUCUUGAUAGGUUCUUUCCUAGGGAGAAGAAGGAAUCCAAGGUGGUGGAGUUCAUUAAACUUCAUCAAGGACGUAUGAGUGUUCUAGGAUACUCUUUGAAAUUCACUGAAUUGUUAAAAUAUGCUCCUUCUUUGGUUUCUGGCCCUAGAGAUGAAAUGAACCGCUUUAUCAAAGGAGUGUCUGAUGACUUGAAAAAGGAGUGUCAUUAGGCUAUGCAACAUGAUAAUAUGAACAUUUCUCAUCUCAUUGGUCAUGCUUAAGAAGUGGAAGAGGAAAGUUCUAAGAGGAAGAGUAGAGAUGCCUAAAAGGCAUGAUCUAUUGAUGGUUGUUCGUCAAAGAAUAGGCUUGAGAUUCAAGACAUGCCUAGGUUAUGGAAGAGGGUUCUGAUUCAACUUUCUUCCAAGUUCCCUAAGGCUGGGUAUGAUAGUAUGCCUAACCCUAAGAAAAAAAAACGGAAGGGAUACUAGUUCACCAACCAAGAAGCAAACUUGUGGAAAGUGUGGCAAAAAGAACUUUGGUAAUUGUCUUAAGGGAAUGGAUAAUUUUUUUGGUUGUGGUAAAAGUGGGCACAAGGUUAGGGAUUUCCCUAAUAUGAGUGUUCAAGACAAGGGUAGUGGUCAAGCUCAAGCAAGUGGUUCAAAUGAGGCACCGAAGAAGAAUAGAUUCAACGCUCUUCUCUCUAGGGGUGAGCAAGAGAAUUCUCCCGAUGUGGUUACCGGCAUUUUUAUAGUCUUCUCUAUUGAUGUAAAUGCCUUCCUUGAUCCCGGUUUUACCUUAUCAAUUGUUGAGCCUCUAGUAGCAAAAAAGUUUGAUAUUUUGCUCGAUAUAUUGCAUGUACCUUUUGUAGUGUUAACCCCGGUGGGUGAGUCGGUUGUUGCAAAAAGGGUAUGUAUAAAUUGUCCUAUAUUGUUUCCCAAUAUAGAUUCAUAUGUUGAGCUAGUGGAACUUGAUAUGCUUGAUUUUGGAGUCAUUUAGGGUAUGGAUUGGUUGCAUUCUUGCUUUGCUUGUAUAGAUUGUAGAACGAGGGUGGUCAAGUUAAGCUUUCCAAGUGACACCGUUUUAUAGUAGAAGGGGUUAAAUUAUAUUCCUAGAGGUCGUACGAUAACUUUUUUGAAAGCAUGUAAAAUGAUCUCUAAAGGGUGUUUAUACUAUAUAUUAAGAGUACAAGAUUUAGUCUCUGAAAGUCCUCCAAUUUAGCCGGUCCUCGUAGUGAGGGAUUUUCUUGAGCUCUUUCCUAAUGAUAUUCCUGACAUUCCUCCGGAACGAGAAAUUGAUUUUGUUAUCGACUAUUACCGGAUACAAAUCAGAUGGCUCCGACCGAAUUGAAAGAGUUUAAAAAUUUACUAGACAAGCCUUCAUUGGACCUAGUAUUUCUCCAUGGUGUUCUCCGGUUUUGUUUUUGGGGAAAAAGGAUGGGUCCCUUAGAAUGUUCAUUUACUACCACCAACUAAAUAAAGUCACUAUUAAGAACAAGUAUCCUCUCCCUCGGAUUGAUGACUUGUUUGAUCAACUCCAAGGGGCAAGUUACUUUUCUAAGAUUUACUUGGGUUGGGGUAUCACAAAUUUAGGGUGAGAGGUGAGGAUAUACCAAAGACGGCAUUUUGUCUAGAUAUGGUCACUACUAGGUCUUAGUAAUGUCCUUUGGUCUCAUGAUUGCCCCGUUAAAAUUUAGAGAUCUCAUGAAUAAAGUGUGUUGAAAGUACAUAGAUUCAUUUGUCAUUGUCUUCAUUACGACAUCUUGGUAUAUUCAAAAAAUGAGGGUGAUCACAUGAAACAUUUGAGAGUGGUGUUGCAAGUUCUUAAGAAGAAUCAAUUACUUGGGAUGCAUUGCAAAUGUGAGUUUUUUUAAAAGUCGGUAAAAUUUCUUUGUCAUAUAGUCUCUAGUGAGGGAGUUGAGGUUUAUCCAAAGAAAAAUGAGGCGGUGAAAAAUUGCCCUAGACCAUUGACUAUAAUCAACAUUAGGAAAUUUUUUUUCUAGCGGACUAUUAUUGGAGGUUCAUAGAUGGUUUUGCGUCCAUUGCAUCUCCCUUGACUACUUUUACCCAAAAGAGUAUGAAAUUUGAGUGGUCGGAGGAAUAGGAGAGAAGCAUCCGAAUCUUGAAAGGUAGCUUACUUCCACUCCGGUGUUAUCGUUACCACAGGGUACAAAGGGUUUCAUUAUGUAUUGUGAUGCAUCCCUAGUGGUUUUUGGGUGUGUGCUUAUGCAACAUGUAAAACAGGUAGCCUAUGCUUCUAGAAAACAUAAGGUCCAUGAGAGAAACUAUCCAACCCAUGAUCUUGAAUUAGUUGAGGUGGUAUUUUCCUUGAAAAUAUGGAGGCAUUACUUGUAUGGCGCCUAUAUUGAUGUGUAUAACAACCACAAGAGUCCUCAAUAUGUGUUUACUCAAAAGUAAUUGAAUCCCCGACAAAGAAGGUGGUUGGAAUUGUUGAAAGAUUACGACAUGAGCGUCCUUUUUUACCCUGUUAAUACUAAUAUGGUUGCGGAUGCUCUAAAUCAGUUAUCUAUGGGUAGUGUGUCUCAUAUAGAUGAAGCCAAGAAAUACCUAGUGAAAGAUGUUUAUAGGGUGGCUAGAUUGGGUGCGAGGUUGGAAGAUUCUCAGAAUGGUGGUUUUAUGGUCCAUCAUAACCCCGAAUAAUCUUUAUUGGUUUAGGUGAAAUCCAAACAACACCUAGAUCAACAAUUGAUGGAAUUUAAAGAAUCAGCUCUUGGUAAGCUUAAUGAGUCAUUCUACUUUGGGGGGAUGGUCUCUUGAAGUAUCAAGGAAGGUGGUCUGUUCCCAAACUAUAUGGUUGGAGGAACCGGAUCCUUGAGGAACCCAUAGUCCCAUUACUCCAUUCAUCGGCGUUCAACAAAGAUGUACCAUGACCUUAGGGAAGUAUUUUUGUGAGAAUGUUUGAGAAAGGACAUAGCGAAAUUUGUUGCAAAGUGUAAAAAGUGCCACCAUGUGAAAACCGAACAUCAAAAGUCGGGUGGCUUACUUCAAGAGAUCAAAUUUCCUACAUGGAAAUUGGAAUACAUCAAUAUGGAUUUUGUAAUAGCUUUGCCUCAGACUCAAAGGCAAUAUGACUCUAAAUGGGUGAUUGUGGAUGUUACACCUAGAAAAUCCAAGACACAUUGUAAAGCCUCAUAUACGUGUCAUAAGGUCUAAGUAAUGUUUCUAAGUCCAUAUUUAAGGAAUAUAGGUUAUUUAGGAUGUUUAAGGGCCAAAAUGUCCAUGACGUAUGGGAUAUUGGUUCAAAGGGAUGUUAUUGUGCCUUAUCCUAUAUCACUAACUUUUAGGAGUCGGAAAUGUAAGAAAAUUGGUGGAAAGGUAGAAAAUAGAUGUUUUGAAUUAUUUCAUGGUUGAAACAUCCGGGUAAAACUCCCCAAGGACAAACAAAGGGCCCUUGAAGAGUACCCUUGUAGUUUGAUGUAACACUUCUUGGCAGUGUGCAUCGACUUGAUAGAAGACGAUCCGUGUGUGGAUAGACAAAGCGUCGAUGCCACCGUCGACCCACACUUAGGCUAGUGGAGAAGGCCCCAUCACCCGCAUAGCCCCUGAACUCAUCGACGGAGUGCAGAGGUGCAGGAAGAAUUGGUAAGUCUUAGAAUCUCUAUCUUUAUUUCCAAUGGUGAUUAGUUGUUGUUAAGUCAUGAUAUUGCAUUGGAGUAUGCCUUAUACUAGGAUUAUAGGGUGGUACGAUGUUGAAUUGAAAUGUCUUGAAUAAGUUGUGAGGUUUAUUAAGGUGUAUGUGAUACAAGGAUGGUUAAAACUAUUAAUGUGCCUUGAUAUGCUAAUGUCUUAACCUUACUUAUAUGAUAUGUGUUUAACGGACUUAUACUCAUCCAAUUUUUAUUGAGCAAUUGAUGAUGAUGGUAAUACAAUGGGUAGACCCUAUGGACUAAAUUAAGCUAUCGUUGAUAAUUAAAGGCUUAAAGACAUUUCAAAAAGGGAUUCUAGCUUAGCACCAAGUGAACUAGAUUGAGGAAUGUCCCUUCCCACAUAGGGAAGGUUGGAACACUAUGUUACUCUAGAGAUUGGAGACUAUGUUGGAUGACGCAUAACGAGGUUCCAAACUGUAUAUCCUAGUUGUUGAACUAUGUUGCCCCCAUAUGAAUAAUAGCUAGUGGAUCCACGUAGUGUCUAUGUUUCAUGUUUUGGUACUAACUUGGCAUGUAGUCCGCCUUCUUUUGGUGUAGGGUUUUAUUACACCGGACUACACACUAGCUCAUGUUGUGUAUGUCGGUUAGGGCAAGAUGUUCCUAAAAGGUAAAACGAACUAAAGUAUUUGAACUCUAACUUGGAUAACCUAAGGGAUCUAGAUUAGUCUAGGUAGGGGUAUGAGAAUGUACCUAAACAUUGCACGAGUUAUCCUUGAGGGGAGUCUUAGGAAGAGGUUCUUAUAUAUGUUUAUGUAAUUAUAAUAUAUGAUGUAUAUAUGAUGACCAUGGCACAUUGCUGAUACUAUAUGUUAAUUAGUCAUUUAUGAUAUGCCUUGGGUUGUAAUGUUAAUAUAUGAUGAAAUGUAAACCUAAAUUCCAUGAUAUGUAAAGCUGGACAUUAGUCAUGUUUUUUUGUUGGGUAUACUUAAUUGAGUUAGGUUAUGGGGCUUUGCUUGGUCAUUGCACUUGUUGACUUGAUAAGAACUUGUGAGUAGUUUUCUUGCUUAUAUGAUAUGUUUGACUCUUAUUUCAUUCUUAUGAUAUUAUUCCUUCAUGUUAGGGUUGUAGUAAAUAAUGGUUUCAAGUAUAUUGGGAUAAACUUGUUUAGAUAGUAAGCAUGUUUGGUUAGUUUAUAUGACUUACUUGACUUUGCAUUAAGUCUCUAAAGGGGUAAAAUGUCAUGUUAUGACUAAAGAGUCCCUAUUAGCAUGUUUUUCAUGUGGAGUACUAAUCCCAUUUUCUUCCCUUUUCCCAAACAUUUUAGGUUUCGGUCGUUGAAGAGUUUGGAAGGUGACAUUGUUGAAGGCUUGGAUUCUUCAUUUCAUUCAAGUAGGAUAGAUCCUCAACUUUCGCGGGCAUGUCAAUCCUCUAGUAUACGGAUUUUUUUAUGCUCUUAUUGACUAUUUCAUUCCUUUCCUUUUUAAUUAAGUUUUGUACUUUCGUAUGACCUAUACAUUGUCUUGUUUGAUUGAUGUAAGGUCUACACCCAUAUUGUGAUAUUCAUUUAGAUGGUAUGAGAUGAGACAAUCAUUGAGACUAUUUCUAUACUUUAUGCAUAAGAUUGUGCAAUAAAGGUAUAAGGCUAUGUACCCUUCCUAUACGAAGGGUCUAUGUAUACUCAAUAUGAAUAUAUAUUAAGUGUAUGCAGCGAUCUAUGUAAGCCUCCGUGUAGUGAUAAUGAAAGUUUUAAAUUUUCCGUAUUUUUUAACCUAUGAAUGUAAUGACAUGAGACUAAAAGGCUAGUCUUAGUCCUUAAACAGUAUAACGAAAACGGUUACUUAAAUAGAUGAGAUUGUGUGUCGCCAUCAAAUUUUGUUAUCUAUCAUAUCGGAUUGGGGUGCACAAUUCACAUUUAAGUUUUGUAUGUCAUUCAAAGAAGGGUUGGGUACUAAAGUGAAACUAAGCACUGUUUUUCACCCCUAUAGGGAUGGUCAAGAAUGUAUUACUCAAACCAUUGUGGAUAUGCUUAGAGCUUGUAUUAUUAAUUUCAAGGGAAAUUAGGAUAAGCAUUUGCCUUUGGUGGAAUUUUGUUACAAUAAUAGUUUCCAUUCAUCCAUAACAAUAGCUCCUUAUGAAGCCUUGUAUUGUAAGAGGUGUAGAUCUCCUAUUGGAUGUUUUGAAGUGGGUGAGCCUUCGCUUCUUUGUCCCGAUUUGAUUUAUUAGACUUUGGAGCAAGUUCAUAUCAUAAGGAACCGAUUGUAAACUUCCUGUAGUUGGCAAAAUCCUUAUGCCAAUCAUAGGACAAGGGGUUAAGAAUUUAAAGGUGAUAAAGUGUAUUUGAAAGUUUCACCUAUGAAAGAGGUGGUUAGAUUUGGCAUGAAAGGUAAUUUGAGUCCUCGUUAUGUGGGUCCCUAUGAAAUCUUUUAUACAGUAGGUAAGGUUCCUAGUAAAUUGGCUUCGGUUCAUGCGGUUUUCCAUGUUUCUAUGCUUAAGAAGUGUAUUGGUGAUCCCGAGUCUAUUCUUCUUAUUGAGGAUCUCGGUGUGAAGGAUAACCUCUCUUAUGAGAAAGUUCCAGUUCAAUUCCUUUAUACUCAAGUAAAAGAGUGAAGGAAUAAUGAGGUAACUUUUGUAAAGAUGUUAUGGAAGAAUAACCUAGUUGAGGGUGCAACAUGGGAGGCUGAGGCCGACAUGAAGUCCCAUUACCCUCAUCUAUUUGAUAACCAAGGUUAGUUAUUCUUAUUAGUUAUGACAAUAAUCACUAAAAAUUGAAGUUUCUUGAUUUUUGGUGAAGUUUUGCAAAAUGUGCAUGUUUGGAUGUUUUUAUAGUGAAUUCUAGUGAAAUUAACAUUUAGACUUAAAAAAUUGCAAUUAUUUUUUUUAGUCAUGAUGUUCAAUUUGAUAGGGUAAUUCUUUAGGAAAUGAUAUGUAGCAUGUUGGUAAAUUGAACUUUUGCAUAAUUGACUCAUAAUUGCUAUGUUGAGCUUUGGUUUUUUGAGAAGGAUAUUCCUCAUAAUGUAAUGUUGAGUCUUAUGUGUGGUAAUUAAAGCUUUUGAAUUGCCUUUUGUAAUAGAUAUGCUUGAUGUUGUAAUUCAUGUUUUUAUGUAAUGUCGUUGGUUGGACUUUUAGUCUUGUGUCUAUUCUUUCCUUCAAAUGAUUUUUCGUGUCAUUCGGGGACGAAUAUUCCUAGGGGGCAUAAUGUAAAACUUCAAAAAUCCAACGCGAGUUCUAGAGCCUAACGAAAGUGUCAUAAGGUUUAGAAACUGUGAUAACGUCCAUUUUAAUGAAUAUAAGUCAUUUAGUAAGUAUAGAAACCAAAACGUCCAAGAAUUUCCAUGACGUCCGGAAACUAGUUCAAUAAGGUGCUAGCGUGUCUUAGCCUAUUUGAAUAGCUUUUAGAAAUCAUAAAAUGAUGAAAAUUGGUGGAGGGGUGUCUAACAUGUGUGUAAAUUUAUCAUAAUUGAAACGUCUGGGAAAUACUCCUGAAGGACAAACCAAGAGACCUUGAGAAGGACCCUUGCAUUUUGGAAUCAAAGACUGCCUGGGCAGUGUGCACCCACGAAGGGUAAUGACCUAGGAACUCCAAGUAAUAUCUUCAAAGCCUAUUGUGCAAUGUCUAGAUAGCGUCUCAUACCACCACCUAAACCUCAAUGAACUUGUCUAAUCUUAAUAGGUAUUCCAUGUGAUGAUACUAGGAAAUAACCGACAUAGACCAUGAUAUCAAGACAAGGAAUAUGAGGUUCUAACCUACUCCAAUGAGGGUGAUCUACAUGACAAAGAUAUAACUUAGACACAUCCCAUGUAGGCACAUGGCUAAGGAAUAUGAAGGGCAUGAUUUGUAAUGUAGUCUCGUCCUUUAACUAGAAAUACUUCAUUUAACAUACUCACUCGGUGAUAACCUUCUUUCUCAUAGGGUAAUUCACACAGUACGUUCACAUAAAAGGGUUCCAUAACAAGUUCAUAACCUAAUCAUAUUUACCCUACCAAAGAAGGUCCACUAGGGCUACCUCAUAAUGGCAACAAUAAGCUCAUGAUGACUUUCCUAAGGAUUAAUAUGAUGUUUUUCAAGCCAAUAAACCUUAAGUCUAUCAUACCUGUACUUUGAAGGAAACCAUUACGGCUUGAGACUUAAACAUUCACAACCUUACCACGAGGUUCAAUGUUUCACAUAAAAGUCCCUAUUAACUUAAUUUAAGAUCACAUAUCACGAAUACAUUAAAGAUUAAGAGACUUUAACAUCUUAAGUAAGGACCUCACAUAUUCACAUUCAGACAUACAUCAAGUAGGCGACAAAAGUAAACCAAGACAAGAAACCACAUACUUCACUUUUAGCUCAUAAUACAUGUCAUUCUAGAAAUACAUAAACAUAACCAUAUCAUAUGGAAGUCAUCCUAUACACUAUCAUACCAUCAUCAAUCUGACCAACCUGGACUCAUAUAGUCAAUUAGGAAGAACCAAGACUCAACCUUAAGACUAAACACAUAAGGUAAAAGUCAUAGUCUAACAUGAUCACCUAAAAUGAAUAGAAAAACAAAUAUCUUACGUCACAUGUUUAUAGAUAUUGUCAUGAUUCAAAUAAUAAACUACACAAAUACUCACAUUACUUUAUGUAGUUUCUGACAAGGCCAUGAUCAUCAUAAUAUAUUAAGUAACGCCGACAAGAUCAAUAGCAAGUAAAAAACAUAACACCUCCACCGUAAGUGGACCAUACAAUUCACAACAUAAUUGAAGUAUAAAUAAUAACAAAAUAAAAUAAAUAGGGAAGUGUACCACCACUCUAUCCUCAACGCCUCAGUUCGAUGCUAAAUCAUCCAAUUCUAUAACAUAAGACACUUACCAAUGGCCAUGAACAUUAAUUCAACAUAAAAACUAUAAAAAUAAAUAAACUGGGUAAAUUCAACGUAAAUUUAUAAAUAUAAUAAAACCUAGAUAUCAAUUGAAUACAAUUAUUACAUCAUUAGAUAGCCCAUAGAGAACUAAACCAUAAGUCAUUAACCCAUAACGUAGUCAAAAACAUGGGUUCAUACUAUUCAUUGGUUCAUAGUUAAUUUAGGUUAAAUUCAUUAAUAAACUAACAAUUUAAUCUAUAAUAAACGUUUAAAAACAAUUAGUGCGAGAACCAAUGGUAGAAUCAUGAAAUUGGACAAUUCAACUUUGAAAACUACAGAAAACAUCUUGAGAGUUGGGCUCCUUGAUGGAGAGAGUUUCAAGGAUCAAAGUACAUACCUUGAUGAAGCUAAUUCUUCUUUUAGAUGAAAAAUCUCCACUCAAUUCGUCACACCAACCCCUUCUUUAUGUUUUGACUCCAAUGGGAUUCCUGAGUGAAUUCCAAAGGAUUUGGGGUUUUUAUUUAGAAGAAUGAAGUAUUCAAUAUGUUUAAGACUUAUAUACACAUUUAAAAUACCAAAAAUAACCCUUAAGAACCUCCAAAAAUCCUAUGUGGAAGUGAGGUGAAAUUAUAACUUCUCCCCUAAACUUAACAGUGAACUUGCGCACAACACAGACACAUCGACAGUUGUGCAGUUGAUGGACCGUUUGACCACAAACGGACCGUCCUUUCCUUUUGUUUGUUGGAACAGAGACUCAAAUAGGGUCUCCUAUCACCCAAUAAUAAGUCCGAAUUGACGAAACCCUACCAACUAGGCGUCGAUUGACCUACUGGGCGUCGACUGCCUCUGUGGUUUAGAAUGUCUUUGGAAGUCUUGGCACCUAAUUUGGGCCCUUCCUCAAGGACCCUUAGAUAAUUCUUCGGGAUGUUUUCCCAGACGUUUCAAACCCAAACAUGACCGUAUAUGAGUUUAUAACCUUUAAAAUGCAUUUCACCCAAAACAAAACGUAAAACUUGACAAAACAUGCUUACACACAAAAGGUCAUUUCAAGGCAACACUUUUGAACGUCAUGGACAUUCUUGGACGUUUGACCUCCAAACUUCAUGAAACUUUAAACACUUCCUAUAUAUUAUAUAAUAACUUAUUUAAAUACAUUAUGACCUCAUGAAUCGCACAUAAACACAUAAAACAAGAUAUGAGGCACAUAGGUGACUUAAUCGUCGAACGUCUUACUCGUCCCUUGAUGUUUAACUUCCAAUGAACCUAAGAUCUUAGACACUACCUCAUUAAUACAUUAUAGACCUAUUUAGGAACUUAUAAAAUCAUAACCAAACUUUUAGGAUCUAGUUCACCUAAGUCAUUUUCAGGAAAUGACUAAAGACUACAGGCCCACAAAUAAGCAUUCAACAUCAAUAUAAGUACAUAAACAUAGGAAACAUCAUUAAAUUCAUAUUAACAACUUCAAAACACAACAAGUAGGAAAUACAUCUCCAAACUCAUUAUACAUCAUAACUUUGAUUCUUCAUUUCAUUGGAGGAGAUUCCUUCUCGGAAUCACAUUAAUCUAAUCACCACAUCAUUAGUAAAAUAUGAAACUCUUUCAAUAACACAUUUAUGCAUGUUCAACAUUUAACCUUCUAAAAUAAUUAAUCAAAUCAUAUUAAGGUCAUGCUAACAUGAGGAAGACAGUAUUAAAACUCAUUUUUCUCAUCAGAAGUGAAUUUACCUAAACCAUGCAUAACAUAAAGAAGCCAUAAAAUAACUGAUGAACAGUCACGACUCUAAUACAUAAGAUAAGAUACAAAAACUCUAGACCUCAAGCUUUCGUGAGAAUGAAAGGAAAAGAGAUAAGGAUAAGGAACUCUCACAACCAUGUUAUUAAUCAUAACAUCCCUCCCAAGGGAAAACCAAUCUAAGACUAUCAUGCACACAACAUAAUGAAUUUCUACAGCACACUCAUAAUAAAAGGAACUAUUACUUACAAGUACCUUCAUCCGGAUUAUAUUCUUACUUUCCUUUGUUUAAAGAGCAUAGAAAUGAGUCUUCUUUUGAUCAUCAAGAUUUGGGACAUUAGGAGAAGCUUUUUUGGCCUUUCUUCCUCUAGCCGUAAGAGUAGUAUAUUCAUUCACUUUUUUAUCAUUCUUUCCACUACGAUAGAACCCACUAGUACCAACUAGACACUUCCCAAAAUGUGUUUUUCCACAAUUAUUUCAAGUACGUUUAGAAACUUGAGAUCGACCGCCUCUAUCUUGGUUAUCCUUAGGAGCACUUGAAGAAUCUUGCUUUAGAGCUCUUUUUUAACCUAGUUUGAUGUUUCUGAUCAAACCUACCCCUAUUUACAUCCCUAUUCAUCCUUCAAAGUUUUGAACUUCAAUACAUUACGCAUGCAUAACAAGUAUAUAAAGAUUCAUAUCAUCAAACAACAUCAUUGUACGAUACUCUUCCUUGACUAAGCUGGAAUAUGAUCGUUACAAACCUACUCAUCUCAUAUCUAUGAUUAGAUACCAAGGAUGGAGCAUACUAAUAAAUAGGGUAAAAUUCAAGAAAUACUCCUCUACAUUCAUACUACCAUGCUCAAUGCUUAUAAACUUCUCAAUAAUUACCUCCCUUCUCUCACGGGGUAAGUAAUGACCAAGAAAUAUCUUCUUAAACUCUUUUUAUUCUAAUGGAUCCUCGUCAAAUGGACUAUUAGCCUUCCAUUGAGUAAACCGAAUUUGACAAACCUUUUUUAAUUGGUAAAAAUCUAACUCCACCGUUUAUCUAGAGGUAACUCCCAUACCAUCAACUAUCUUAUAAUUUCCAUCAUAAAAUUCUUGGGGAUCUUCUAACCACUCUAGAGAAAAGAAAUAUAAUGAGGAUUCAUCCUCACAAAGUCCCUCAAUCAUGAGCGCAUGGUCCGCUCCAAAUAAUUCACUCCAGAGACCACAUCUCUAUUUGCUUGGGUCGUCAUAGCUUGAGAGAAGGUUCAGAAACUUGCCUAAUCUAUUCAUUAAUCAUAUCCUGUGUAACCACUCGAACUUGCUCACCUUGAGGAGUUUGUUCUUCUUAGGGACCGAAGGUAGGACUUCCAUCAUUAACAAUAUCCUUUUCCACUCUCCUUGCAGGUCUUUAUCUCAUAUUCAUAUCCUAUAAACAUAAGAUAAGGAUUAGGAAAAAGAUACUAAUAGGAAUCAACUCUAAGUCACGACAUCAAGAAUAAUAAAAGAAGUGUAACUUCUGCCCUCCUAUAUAUUCUCACUCAUUAAUGUGUCGCGACACACACCGAUGAACAAUACUCUACUAGACAUAGCUCGUGACAAUUUGAUCCUAAAAAUCAUUCCCAAAAUCUUAUGUUCUGAUACAAAGUUUGCACUAUAGGAGUGCACCCUCGAGUCGUAACACAUUAUUUGAUCCGAAGUGGUAUCAUACAAGACUAUUAGCAUUCAUUAAAUUUGAUAUAGGAAAUAUAGAAGAAUUAAAAAUUUUAUUAAAAACUAAACUAUUAAAGAUCUCAUUUCAUUAGGCAAAUAGAAGACUAAGUCUCACAUGGUCACCCUUAGACAAGCAUAAUUAGAUAGGGUCACGGCCGUUUACAAUCGAAUAUACUGAAGAAGUCCAUUACAAUGUUUAAACAUGAAGGAACUAGAGAGAUAAAAUCCUUGUCAUCAACAUAUGAGGAUAUAUCACAAAGGUAUUGAGAGAAAUCUAAUCCCAAGCUGGAGAGUGCAAUUACUUGUUGAAACCUACACUUGUAGUAUAACAUAGAAGAAGACUAGGGUUAGUACAAAUAAGUACAUAGUUUGAUGAUUAUGCAAAAAUAUGUUAAAAUGGGAAAGUCGUGUUUUUUUCCCAUUUUGUAAAGCUACAUUAACAUUUGAACAAUAAAGUCAUAAUAUAAGAAACAAUAAACAUGCGCCUUAGAUAGAAUCCCAUUUAGCUUCAUUUAGAGGACUAUCAAACAUUAGUCAUGAAGACUUAAGGAACUAAUUCUAGCACCUUCAAAGCCUACUCGUGACAUGUGUAUAUAGAAUCCCAUAUUACUACCAACACGUUGUAGUACCUAUCAAGUAACUAUAGAGCAUAUCCCACAUAACAAGAAUAAGAAUUAACCGACAUAGACUAUCAAAGCUAAAUCAUGGAAUCUAGUGUUUUAUCCCCACACCGUAAAGAGGUGUUCUUCUUAAAAAAGGUAUAACUAACACAUCCUAUGUAGGAAUAUUGUUUAGGGUAUAUUAAAAUAUGUUCACUGGAUUCUAGCCUAACAUUGGGAAUAACCACCAUCUUAACCAUACCCACUCGGUGCUUAGAUUUAGUUCCCAUAAAGUAUUUACAUUAAAAAAAUAUUGAUGUGUUUGACAGGGCCACAAACAUUAGGCCUAACAACCCAACACACAUACAAAUGAAUAGACAUCCAUUAGGUCUAUCGAUUUAAGCUAUAGAGGAGAAAUCAUUAAUCUUUCUUUGGAACGGACAUCACUUUUAGGUUUACCGCUCCUAGGUAUAUCAUUUCGCACAACAAGAAGUCUACCACCAUUAGAUCUAUAACUUCAACGUUUUACAUUCGCCUUGGGUUCUUGACUCAUCAUAAGGAGCCAUAAAGUUUAGGUUUACCAGUUCAACAGAUGGCCUAAAAUACCUUAUUAAUUAGUCAUAGGGAGGCUACAAUUCUUAGGUCUACAAAACCAACACAUUCAUUUAAUAUGAGGCUACCAAUCAUAGGUAUACCAAUUCUAAGACAUUAAUUAAUUCAUCAAAGACAAGGGUACAAAUUGUAGGUCUACAAAAUCAUUAUAAUUUAUCACUAAAUUAAAUAUUCGUUCAUUAGUCUAGAAAAGGAUGCACUAGUCUAUCAAUUCAAGUGUAAGGUCCCUCAAAAUGAAUUAAGGUAGAUAGAGACUCACUUGUGCCCAAAAAUGUUAAAAAUAUGUUAUAAGUGUUUUAUACUGUUUAAACUUGAUUUGUAGUGGUUUGUAGGUCAAACGUCCAAGAACAUCUGAGACGUUCGCAAGUUAGCCCUUGGAUGCUAGUGUGUUCUAGUGUGCCUUGAUAUGUUUUAAGUAUUAUUUGAUGCUAAAAUUAUAUAAGAGGUCUUCAAAAUGUAUACGAGUGUAUUUAGGGUAAAAAAUUCCAGGCACGACUCCUAGAGGACCACCCAAGGGGUCUUUGAGAAUGACCCAAACAUUGCCUCGCCACUGCCUUGGCAAUGUCCAAUCGAUAACCCCAUGAAUGACAUAUGGUGCAUGUAUAGACUCCCCAUCGAUUGGGAGCGUUGCUAAAUACUUAGAAUUGUAACCUCAAAACCCCAGGAAGGAGUCUCUAUCGCAAUCGACGAUUAUGCAGCACGACAUCGUCUUUCCAUCGACGGUCCAUUUCCAUGCACGUUGAUUGAACCUGUUGAUUCUUCCUGCAACACACUGUUCACUAAAGGUGAAAAUGGUAAAUUCACUGUGCGCCCUAAAUAGACCCUACGCAAUUAUUUUAUCUAUUUUUGGGUAUAUUAAGUUAGAUAAUAACAUCAAAAUCCCUAUUCUAAUUCUUUAUUUAAAUUAGACUUCUCCUCCACAAAAGUAACUCUCUCUAGAAACCUCCAUUUCAGAUCAAGCUUAACACAAGCAUGAUGAUGUAUUCUCAAGAUAUCUUCAUCAUUUUUUCGUUGUCUUAUAAUGUAGUAAGGUGUGGUGAUCCUUCAUCCUUAGUUAACCAUUCAUCUAAGGAGUUCCUUCAAAGGUUUUCAACGAGAUUUCAUGAUGAAACUAUAUAUCUUUCAAUCUAGCCAUGGGUUCUUUCUCAAAAAAAUUUCAAAAGCAUUCUUAUGAGGAAUUCAUAAUUAGAUAUUGUUUUUGAUGUCGAUAUCAAUCCAAUUUCAUGGUGAACCCAUGUUCCUUCCAAAAUCCUAACUUAGCCUAUAAUAUGAAUAAUAUGACUUUGAUCAUAUGAUGAUUGAAUUAUGGAUUUUGUUUAUGUUAAUGUACAUUUAUAUAAUGUUUUAUAUUGGAAUUGUUGAUGAAUAAUGAAAAUUGAUCAAUUACGAUCAAAUCUUGGAGAAUUAGUGCCAAUUUCUUCUACUUGGCAUAGAAUUUGUAGUAGAUUGUCCUUAAAUAACAUUGUGGUAUGGUCCACUUAUGGUGGCAAUGUAUACUUUCUUGUAAAUAUCUAUGUGAUCUGUUCAUGGACUUGAAGAAAAGUUUAUGAAUUAUGAAGGAUGGUUAUGAUGAUCACACCUAUAAAGUUAUAUGCCUAGUUUUCAAAUGCUAGUAUAUGUUAUAGGUAUAUUGAUGAUGUUUCCUAUAUGUGGAUGAUUAUGUUAGGUCUAGGUAUGGUCAACAUGUUUAUUAGUGGAUACUCUUUUUUAGCAUAAACCCUACCUAUGAACCCCUAUAUGAAUGUGUGGUCCAAGCAUGGUUAGGAGUCUUAGAUUCAAUGAUGAAGGUGUCUUUAUCUUCUAUGAUAUAAUGUUGUUGUUGUGUGGUCUAUUGUCCCUACCACUCUAUAUGUGAAUUUUCUAUGGUUUAGGGGACACAAAUAUGUAUUGUGAGAUUUGGAAGGGUGCUUCCUCAAUGUUAUGAUUGUUGCCAUUUAUUUGAUCAUGUUUACCAGUGUACCCACACUUCAUGCAUGUUUAUGAGUAUGAUAGAUUCAUGGUAGAUAAUGAAAGGAUAGUUUAUAUAUGAAUAUAUAUCUUCUAUUAUGCGUGUGAAGUAUAUGACUAUGUAAGUAUGAAAUUAUAUCUAAAAUAGUAUGACUUGAUAGGUGUACUAAUGUGGGCAACGGUAUGGGACAUUGUCUAUGUAUUGCACAUGUGUGCCUUGAAAGGAUAGUUCCUAGAGUGAUUUUCUAUUUUUUGAAUAUGAAUGCAUGGGUGAGUUAUCAAGAUGAAUUAUAUUCCAUGAUGUCAAGUAUAUUAUAUGAUGAAAUAUUAAUGUGUAACGUCUACAGGUGUUUAUAUAAAAGGGUUGCUCAUAUAUGUACACUUAUACACUUAUGUAUCGAUGAAGUGAAAUGAACAUGUGUUGUCAAAUAGUGUCUAUGAGAAAUGUCUUCUCACAUAUAUGUACCCACACAUAAAAUGUAUGUCUGACGCAAGUUUUGAUGAUCAAGUAAUGUAGGGUUACUUGAAAUGUUUGCUCAAUUGUACCUUAAACUUGACUAUGAUUGGUAUGUGCUAUGUCCAUGUGAAAGGUUUUCUAUUAUAAUCUAGAUUGAUUAAAGUCCAUUCUCAUCUAUGACCUAGAUCUAUACAUAUGAUGGGUGAAUCAAGUAAAGAAUAUUUUUAUAAAGUAGUAUUAAUAAAGGUUUUUCAAUAAAGGGAAGACUUGUUCACCAUAGUCCACACGAGGUGGAUAACUAUAAUGACCAAUUGUCAUAUAGAUUCUUUCUAUAUAUACCUUCAAUAUCCAUAAAUUAUGUUUCCCCAUUGGAUAUAGCAAGCGAAUCCACCUAAUAUAAUAGCAUGAUAUUCAUGUUUUAUCUUGUCAAGUAAGAUACCAUCUUUGGUGUGAGGGAAUGAAUCAAAUUCCAUGUUUAGCACAUAUGGUCUCAUUGUUGGUUAUGCCUAUGGUUUUUCCCAAAUGUUGAAUGGACAAUGGAUGUAAAGCAAGGAACCCUAACUAGGAUAACCUUAGGUAAAUUUCUUAGGUUAGGCGAGAAUAAUUAACUUCUCUAUAAAUUGCACAAGUAGCUCUUGAGGGGAAUUCUAGGAAGGUGUUCUAUAUGUAUAUGUGUAUGUUGAUAUUCCUUAUGCAUGACAUUUUAGUGUUGGUCAACUUUUUAUGAUAAUAGUCAUAGUAUUGAUAUUAUUGAAUCUAUAUGAUGAGGUCUUACUUAAUAUGCAUCAUGUUUGUCUUAGUAACUAUGAUUUGAAGGUAUUACUUGGUAUGUAUGAAGUUUUCUAUACUUGCCAUGUUAUGUAUGAAGUAAAAGGUAUGGUCUUAUGAUGUUUUAUUUGAAGCAAAGUUAAGAUAUGUUAUUGUUGACUAUUGUCUUACUAAGAUGAUAUUGGAAGUCUUGACUUAUAUUGUCACAUCCGGGGAGCACCCCCUAGAAUUAACAAGGAGUACUUGACCUCUCAGAGGUGUUAUACAAGCCCAUAGUUAUUAUUCAUCGCAUUGACAUAGUAAAUUUAGCGAAAAAUUUAAAACUUUUUAUAGCACAUCAUAUGCUAGAAACUUAACUUCAUAUAUACAUAAAAUAUCAUAUUACAUACUUAGACUCUAAGUAUCUUUGUCAUCUUAGACUCAACAAUAUUGGAAUACAUUAGGUACACGACCCUUAAAACAUAAGACAUAACUAUACAAUCUUUAUACAAUUAACAAUAAGACAAGAGUAGGGAAUCCUUGGAUUUAAGGACCACUUUCCUUGAGCUUGUGAAUCACAUAUCAAGCUCUUCAACCAUGGACAUCCUUUAAGCAUCCAUAAACUGCACUUUGUUUUUAAAGUAGAGAAGAAUGUGAUUAGUACAAGAAUGCACUAAGUAUAGAAACCAUACAAAAACAUGCAUUCAAAAGGGACAUUUUCUUGAAUUCAUACUUCAUGCAUUUUUGAGUAAAUAUUUAUAAACCUUUAUUCAAUAGCAUUUACAUCAUUCACAUACUUCAUAUAAACAUAUUCAAAGGCCAACCAUUACAUAAGAUCAUAAAUAGAAUUUAAUCUGUAAUUGAGGUCACUUUACAGUGAGGUCCUUUACCCUAAUAGUGAGAAUUACUUUCUUAUAUUCAAUAACCUUCCAAGUAAUCCUCUAGUGAUACUUGGUGCAAUUAAUUGCCUUAAGUCCACAAGGAAAACAUGCAUGUGACCCAUAUAAGACAACACAUUUCAUCAUACAAGCAUAAUAUAUCAAAGACAAAUUUAAGUCGAGAUUCCUUUAGCUUUACAAUAAGCUACUUCUGAUCCCCAAACGGAUGGUCAAGCGGAGCAUACCAUUCCAAAACAUGAGGAUAUUAUUAGAGCUUGUAUAAUUGAUUUUCAAGGCAAAUUGGGAUAAACACUUUACAUUGGUUGAUUUUUCUUACAACAUUAGUUACCAUUCAUUUAUCUAUGGCUUCUUAUGUAGCCUUGAAUGGUAGGAGAUGUAGAUCUCGAAUUAGAUGGUUUAAACUGGGCGAGUCUUCAUAUUUGGGUCCCAAUUUGAUUAAUAAGACUUUGGAAAAAGUUCAUAUUAUAUGGAAUCUCUUGAAAAUAGCCUAUAGCCGGCAAACCUCUGAUGCCAACCAUAGGAGAAUAUAAUUAGAGUUUGUAGAAGGUGAUAAAGUGUAACUAAAAACUUUGAAUAUGAAAGGGGUGGUAAGAUUGGCAAGAAAGGGAAGUUGAGUCCCUGUUAUGUGGGUCCCUAUCAAAUUUUCAAAAGAUUGGUAAGGUUGCAUAAAAGCUGAAGUUUCCUAGUGAAUUGGCUUCGGUUCAUCAUAUUUCCAUGCUUAAGAAGUGUAUUGAUGAUCCCGAGUCCAUUCUUCCUAUUGAAGGUAUAGGUGAUCAAGAUACCUCUCCUAUGAGAAGGUUACAGUUAAAAUCCUUGAUAGACAAGUAAGGAUGUUAAGGAAUAAAGAAGUGACUUCUUUAAAAGUGUUAUGGAAAAAUCACCUAGUUGAGGGUGCAAGAUGGGAGGCCGAGGCCAACAUAAAUCCCAUAACCCUCAUCUAUUUGAUAACUAAUCUUAGUUAUUCUUACUUUCAGUGAAAACAAUUAGUUUAUUUGAUGUUUCCUUGAUUUUUGGUAAAGUUGUGCUAAAAAAGGUGAAUUAGAGUGAAUCACAAUGAACUUUAUGCCUAAAAAUGAAAAUGUUGCUUUUUACUUGUUUUGAGUUCAUAUUGUGUAUUUUGGUAUAUCGUUCCUUCAUUAAUUGUAUUAAGCAUUUUCAUAUGUGUUGAAGAAAGCUUUGGCAUAUGAAUAAGCAUGAAAUGAAUGUUGAACUCUUAUGCGUUGAAAAUGUUGUUUUGAGUUAAUUGUGUAAAAUGACAUGUGGUUAUGUUUAUUUUGAUUGAGACUCAUGUCUUGAUAUGUUGUUGUUGGUUGGGCUUCUAGUCUUGAGGCUAUUCCUUCCUUUUUAAAGAAUUUUAGUGUCAUUCGGGGACAAAUGGUCCUAACGGGGGGAUGGGGGAAUAUGUAAUACUUCGAAAGUUUAAAUUCUAAUCAAGAGACUAACAUGAUAUUAUAAGAGUAAUAACAUUGUGUAUAAGUCAAUUAUAAUGUAUUUGAAUCAUUUAGGAAGUUUUAGAAUAAAAAUGUAAAGGGACGUCCAUGACAUCCAGAAACUAGUUCAAGAGGUGCUUGUGUGCCUUAGCCUAUUUGACUAAAUUUUAAGAGUUGGAAAAUGAUGACAUUUUGUUGUAAGGUGUCUAACACGUAUUAUAGUUAGUUUAUAGUCAAAACGUCCGGGUAUGACUCGUGAAGGACCAACCAGGGUCCCUUGAGGAGAACCCUUGCAAAUGUGGCUAAAAGUUGCGAAGAGGCAGUGUUUACAUAUGUGUGCAAGCGACAAGGCAUCGUUGGAUCGAUGGGGCGCGAUGCCUCUGUCGAUCAAAACAUGGCCAGUUUAGAUGAUAGUCCUGUUGGACGACUCUCUAACCAAAAUGAUGACUGAGAAUGACGGCCAUGAAUAGUGCCCGUCGAUUGACAAACGGGUCGUGGGUCGGGGUGUUGUAUGUCAAGACUCUUUCCACUGCAUGUUGUAAGAUUAGUUAAAUGAAUUAAUUAGGUGGUUAUUUAAUUAUUUAGGGGUUAAGGGACGUCAAAUUAAGUUAUUUAAUGACCUAUAUAAAGGCCCUAACCUAGUUAAACUUACCUAAUCCUCAUAAUUUCUCUCAUCCAAAUUGCUCCUCCUUCUCUCUUAUUUCACACUCCCAAAGAAACCCCAUUGAAGAACAAGUAAUGUGGCGUUCUAGGGAUAAAAAGGAUCAAGUUUUCUCCAUCAAAUUUGAUCAAUUAAUGAGGUAUGAGAUUACUUUCACCUUUGGGAUCUCUUUACCAAAAUGGCUCCUCCAAAUUGAUUUCAAAAGUAUGAAAUUUUAGUAGGUUUACUUCCAAUACAAAAUUGAUCUUGUGAAUUGAUUUGUUUAUGAUUUAUUUUGGUUAUUAUGAGUAUAUUAACAUGUAUUAUUGUUACAUUACACUAAUUCUUAAUGCAUUUGUGUUGUUUGUGUAGAUAACGUUUUUCCCUUAACCCUAGGUUGUGAUCUUGAAUUGAAUCGUAUAGUAUUGAUAUAAUUGGUUUUGAUGAUGUGUGAAUUACUAUCAUAUGUUUUUAUCAUUAUAAAUUAUGAAUAUAUCUUUAUAAAUUGUGAUCCAAUUAUUCUACUACUUGUGUAAUUGACCUAGGUUGUGAAGUACAUUAUGAACUUGACCCAAGUCUCUAAUUCUAGGCUAUGAAUUAGUGAUGAAUUGUUGUCUAGUGAUUUGAUUGACUUCAUUAUUAUGUUAGUUACUAUUGUGUGAUGAUAUUAUACCAUUAUUGAGUUGAAAUAGAUGGUUGAUAGUAAGACCUUGAUGAUGGCAUUGUGAAGGAGACUAGAUAAGUCUAAUGAUAUUAAUUCUUUACUUCAAUUAUUAUUACUUCUGAUUAAAUGAUGAUGUUUUAUUGAAGUAUACCUUAUGCUAAGAUUGAUAGGGUUGGUAUUAUGUUAAAUUGAAAUGUCUUGAACUAUGGAUUGUGAGUUUUUGUCUAAGAUGUAUAUGUUAUAAGGAUUGUGGGUAACUUACAAAUGUGCCUUAUUAUGAUGUGACUAUGUAAAUUUGCUAACUUCACAUGUAUGAAUUGUAAUGAAAGGAAAAUAGUCAUCCAACCCUUAUUGAGAUAUGAUCACGAUUAUAUAUGGGAUAGACCCUAUGACCUACAUUUAGCUAUGAUGAUUAAUAAAGGCACUAAAGACAUUUUAAAAGGGACUCUAGCUUAGCACUGAGUGAAACAGAGUAAUCCCUUCCCACAUAGAGAAGGUAGGACCACUAAUGUACUCAUGAGAUUGGAGACUAUAAUGCUUGUAUCAAAAAGAGGUUCCCAACUAUAUCUCCUCGUUUUUGAACUAUGUUGCCACCAUAGGAGUACUAGCUAGAGUUUUGGUAAUCCCUUGGCAAGCAGUCCGUCUUCCUUCGGUCUAGGGUAUCAUAACACCGGAUUCCAUAUUAGCUAAUGUGGUAUAUGUAGGUUAACAUAAGAUGUUCCCAAAAGGUAAGAUGAAAUAAAGGAAUGGAGUCUAGCUAGGAUGACCUAAGGGGUUUAGCUUAGUCUAGGCAGGGGUAUGGAACUCUACCUAUACAUUCCACUUGUUAGCCUUGAGGGAAGUCUUAGAAAUAUAUUCUUGUAUAUGUAUAUGCUUAUAAAUGUAAAUGCUAUAUGAUGAUAUUACAUGUCAAUUAUACUAUAUUAAUUUGAUCUACCUUAUGAACAAGUGUUUGAUCACUAUGUUAAAUUAUGAUGUUAUGCACUCUUAAUGACAUGCUAUCUGAAGCUGGACAUUGUUUAUGGUUCUGUUUUGGGUUACUUGAUUGAGUAAGGUAUGGGGCUUUGCUUAGUUAUUGCACAAGUGGACUUAAUGAGUAUUCAUGAAUAAUGGUAUUGAUUUGGUUUUGCUGUUAUGAACUCUUAUUCAUGCUUGUUGAUGUUAUGACUGGAUGAUAGAGUGGUCUUGAUUUUGUGCUCAAUUGUGUUGAUAUGCAUGUUGGCUUGACUAGACUUAGUAUUGUUGGUCUUAUGAUGUAUAUGUCUUGACAUAAUGAAUAUUUUUUAUUGCUUGGUAUGGGUUUGUGAAUGUGCAUAAGGCUUUUCAAAUAGUAAGUUGCAUGCAUUAAUAAAAUAUCCCUUUUUUGCAUGGUUUUACGUUGUGUGUGCAUAUGGUCUCAUACUUACUACAAGUGAUGUGUUAACCCCAUUUUCUCCCUUUUCCCCAACAUUUUAGGUUUUGGUCGUUGAAGGGCUUGUGACGACUUUUGCAGGAAGACUUGGAUUCUCAUCUCCAAGUUGGGUAGGUCCUCACUACUUCGCGGAUAAUGCCAUUUUCUAGCAUUGGAUAUUGAUUAGUCUUAAAGACAAUAUGUUCAUUUUCUUUCCCUUAAGUACUAUAGAUUGUAUAGACUAUACGUAGCUCUUAUUGUAUUGAUGUUUGGGCUAUAGAAAAUAGUUAUACUCUUGUUUAGAUGGUGAAGAGAUGAGACGUCUAGUUCUAAUACUAUGUUAUAUCUUAAAUAUGUAUAUGUAAAAUAAAAGUAUAAGGCUAUGUAAUCUUCUUAUAAGAAGGGUCUAUUUAUACUCGAUAUGAAUAUAUUAUGUGCAUGCGAGAGGCAUAUGUAAACAUCAUGACAGAUACAAUAAAAGUUAUAAAUAUUCCAUAUUUUUAACCUAUGAAUAUAAUGAUGUAAUCUAAGAGGCUAGUCUUAGUCCUUGGUGAGGACGCUGAUGCUUAUUACGUCUAGGGGGUGCUCCCCGGAUGUGACAAUGAUUAAAUAGAAGGUUUGAUUGAGAGUCUUGAUAUAAUCAUCCCCUUUCUAUUAUUCCUAUUCUAGAUUAAGACCAAGAAUUCCUUUUUGGUCUUGUUUUAUGUUUUGACGUCAUGUGUGAUUUAGUAAAACUCAAUGAUAUCCUUAUGUUAUACAUGUUCCUCGUGUUGUGUUGCGUUUUAGUAUAAUUUUGGCAUAUUUGACUUCAUCAUGUGAUUUGAUAAAUAUGCUUUGUUAUGAAUUUCAUGAAAUUGCAUAUUGUAUAGAUAAUGUUGUCUUGAUCUUUCUUUUAGUUGGAGAAGGUUUUUCCUCCAAUAAUUAUGUGAUAGAUAAUGUUUAGAAAAAAUUGUAUAUACUUACUCCCAAGGAGAGAUGGUGUGCCUAGCAAGCAAGGUUGUUAGAUAUUUAUGUGUUUAAGCGUUGGCAUGACUUUCUUAUAUAAUGCAUGUUCAAUAAAUCUUUUGUUUUUAAAGACAAUGAUUUCAUGUGAAUUUCUUUCUUCAUGUUGUAUUGAGUUGAGUGUAUGAGUUUUCUAUGUACUUCAUGAGAAGAAUAUGUUAGCAUGCUCUAGUUUGGAGUUGAGAAAUUCCUCCUUGAAUGAAAUUUUUAUUGAAGGUAAAAUUUCUUAUGAGCUCCAUGAGAGUAUGUUGAGCAUGUUAUGACAAGGAUAUGAUAGUUCCUCCUUGAACAUGACUAGUUAUGAGAAUUUCAUUGAUAUUGGGUCGAUAGAUGUAGUUCUUUACUUCCUCUUUGUUGCAUUGAUCAUGUUUUGCAUGGAAUUGAAGUUUUUCUCCUUCAUUUUGUGCAUUGUUAAAAUGUUUCAUGCAUGAUGGGCUGCCAGUAUUGAGUAUUUAAUUCAAUAAGGUGUCAAAAGUAUCAUUCGAGGACAAAUUUUCCAAAGGGGGAGAUAUUGUAACACCAUGGAAAUUAGUUAACUAAUCUAGGGCUAAGAAUAAGGGUUAGAGCCAAGGAAGAUGGCAAGAGCCAAGGAAGAGGAAUAGGGAAGUUCACUCUUACAUUGAAAUUUCCUCACCGUCCACGACCACCACCACAGCUCAUGGGGAGGAUCACGUCUCGUAGUGUGGCUCGCGGUGGGCUAGGUAGUGGCUAAACAAAGGCUGCCCAAAACACCCCCUUCACAUGAGCUUUUUCACGGCUCAUGACGAUGACCACGACUCAUAGGAAGUCUUGUAGUUGUGCUUUAUAUUUUAGGGUUUAAUGUAAUAGUUGCCUAGCUACUAUAUCAUGACUAUGAGAGACACCAUGGCUCGUGGUAGGGACCACGGCUAGUGGAGCAUCACGUGAAGGGAUUUUCGUUAGACUUGGAGUGUAGGGUAAACUUUAAAUGAUCAUAUAUCUUAUUUCAAAACAUAUUAGGUGGGUCUUGACCUAUGUAAUAAAAGUUCUUUGAGUCCCCAUUCCAAUGCCACAGAGUUUUCCUAAUUCAGAUUUUGGGGUAAAACAUUAUGCCUGAAAUACUAAAGCAUUGUUAGGUUUAAUGUUCUUCACAACCUGUUAGAUGGGCCUUGGUGAUGAUGAUUGUCCGUGAAUGCGUCCUUCAUUCCAUUUUUUUUGUUAAAAAUUAUGUAACUUCUUGGGUCUUGUCACAAUCAUUUUAACUCAAACUUAUUUCAUUUUGCCCAAGCCUAGAACCCCUAUUUAAGUAAUUUUAACCCUAAAAUUCACUCAAUAACUUCAUUUAUUCCAUGACCCAAAUCAAAAAAAAAAACUUCAUCUUCAUCCCAGUAUUUCUCUCUCUAAAGUUCAAGGAAGAAGAAAGGUGCAACUAGAGCUAGGAUUUAUAGAAUUCAAAGAUUCUUCCUCAAAUUUAUUGGACAUUAUUAAUCAAGGUAUGGUAGUAUAAAUUUAUGGAAAGUUUCCUUCCUUGGAUCCCUUCAAAAACUCUAUUUGUCAAAGUUAAAUUCCCCGAAACUGAGGGUUUCAAUCUAAAUUGUGGGUUCUCUUUUAAAACGGUUUCAAUUGUUUAUUUAUGGUUGAUUAUGAUGGAUUAUGGUUUAAUUGAUGAUUAAUUAAUUAUUUAUGAUCAAAUCUUCCAACAACCCAUGAAUCCCCUACUUUACUAAAUUGAUUUGUUGAUGUGGGGAUUGUUGUAUAUUUGCCUGAUUAUAUUAUUAAUGAUUGUUUAUGAUGUAAUUACAUGACUAUUGUGUAAUUAUUCAUGUAGUCUUGAUUAAUCUAAGAUUUUAGGGUGAAAUUGAUAUGUUCAAGGGUUAUGUCAGGAAAAACGCAAAUUGAGGGUUUAGAUGUGACCUUGUAAGAUUGAUCGACAUCUUUCUGAUAUUUCGUAGAAUAGAUAACCUACCUAUAAAUCCCUUAUAAGUAAAGCUAAUAGACAUGACUGAAUGAAGUUAGGUCUUAUAUGACGAACCAUGGUUGAGUACUAUUGGGAUUAAGUUUAUUUGAUGUAAUAUGACUAUAAAUGUUUAAGACUGAAGCAUGUGGAUAGUUUACCUUAAGAGUUAAGCUUACACAAUGUCCACGUGAGGUAUUUCAUGAGAGUAAUUCUUGUAGUAUAAGUAUGAAUACUAAGGAUAAUACAAGGCAAAAUAAAUGAGUUGUAAAUGGUGAAGCUUUAGGAUGAAGUUAUGAUACUUGUUGAAUUGUAUAUUGUCUUGUGUUCAUGGACUUUAUCCACAUGACCUAUAAAAUGACCAAAAGAGUGUAUCCGUGUAAUGAUUGGAAUGCUUGAAGUUAUGUCUAUAUCUAUGUGUCAUGUGAUGAAUAUUGGAUGUAUUGAUUGAGUUAUUGAAUCUUGAUAUUCCCACUUAUCUAAUGUUGUAAUUCUAGAUGUUUGGAUUGAGUUAAUUCAUAGCCUUAAAAGGCAAAUUAUGAGGGGUUUUACAUGUUGAUAAGAAUACUGUAUGAGCUUAUGAUACACUUAGAAUGUGAAGAUUUCAUAACUAUUAUGUAAUAAUGGUGUAAUUGCAAGAUUAUUAUAUCCUUAUUCAUGACUAUGCAUGAUAUAUUUAUGAAUAUGAUAAUGUUGUAAUUAUACCACUAGAAGUAUAAUCACACACACCCCAUCCAUAAAUAUGACUAAGGUGAGUUGAAAGGCAAAUUCUCAUGUGCACCUUUAUAAAUGAUUAUUUAUGCAAUAGCUAUGAUUAUGAUGGUAUGAUUGUGUUGAUUGAAACACUAUUCUCAUUAAGACACUAUGAAUAUGAUGUGAAAGGAUUACUCACAUAUUGAUUAUUGUCAGGUUGAAAGAACAUUGUCACCUAAUUAAUCCAUGAGCUAUUAUGACUAUGUUGGUUUUAGUGCCUAGUAUACUUUUUCAUGAUUAUGAACAUACGUAAAGACUUAAUAUGAGUUAUGAUGAGUCCACAAAUUGGACUCAUUUGGAGUUUUUUUUAUGGAAAUAAUGUCAUCAAAUGCUUUCUUAGUCUCAAUAUCCUAUGAAAACUCUAUAGUUUUAGGUAUUUGAAGUUUGGGUGCAAGCAUGGACAGUUAUGUGCAAAAAGGAAUAAGAAGGCUUAAAUGAAAAAAGAAACAGAUGUAUGAGCAUUGCAAAAUAGACUUGCGAGUUGCCAAUGGGACAUAUUUUUCCCUUUGUUCCAGCAUGUGUGGCCAUGAAGGAAAAGGAUCAAAUAGGCGAUGAAAGGAGCAGUCAACUCUUCGUCGAGCAGUUCCGCAAAGCAGAGGUAUACUUCCCAAUAGUCCAUAAAAUAGAGAUGUUAAAGGAAAGCACAAAAUGUAAUGAAAUAAAGAAAGGCGAGUCACCAUGUCAUUCGGUGAUCUCGAAAAAUCUCACCGAGUUGUCGGCAAGUAAACUUAAUUUGAAACUUUUAGGUACUAGACUUAGUUAUUAUUUUUAGUGGGCCUAACAUUAUUGUUGUUUUUAUAUUUUUAAGUUUAGUUUUUUGAAAAUUCUCUCAUGUUUGGAGAGUGUUUUUGGGAGACUUGAAGAAAGAAGGAUUUCAUCUGCCUCGAGUUGCAAGUGAUCCAUUUCCAUUCUUAUUUUUUUACUUCAAUAAAGGUUUAAUUUCUUAUACUCAUUAAAUUUUAGUAUCAAUUUAGAUUUAUAUUUUUACUUUUUGAUGUGUGGAUAAAAAUGCCAUUCUUUUGGAGUAAUUUAGCAAAUAUGAGUUGAUAUUAUUGUAGGGUCUUGCAUGCUGAUAGCUUAUAUGUAUUUUAAUGGUGAUUUCACCUAGUGGUUGUGGUUUAAUUUAAUGUGUUUGUAGUUGCAAAUACAACACCACUCAUAUGUUUUUGGCUUGCUCGAGAAGGAGAUUGUGAAACCAAGACCGUCAGACUUAUGGCCUAAUGAGUGGGUCGACAUGAGAUUUAAUUCAAUAAGGUGAGCCUUAGUCCCAUAUCCUAACACUCAGCUCAACAUAGAGAGUGUGGUAAGGUGUAGGCUGGUCUUGAUGUGGCAAAUUGGUGUCCGAGCAGAACUCAUUUGAAGCGGGGUAAGUUACUUGAGAGAGAACUUAUUUCCAUCUAAUGCAUAGCCUAGUCACUAUUAUGUUUCACAUUUCCUAUCGAAAGCAUGUACCUAAUAAUUUAUCUCAAGUUGUAUUGCGGUCAUACCCCAAGAACUUAUACCAUAAUUGAUUAUUCCUUUGAAUUUUUUCUACUAUUACUAUGCUUAAUACAAACCCCCCAUCAAUAUUUGACACAUUCUAGUCACCCCCUUGAUUUGUAAUGUUUUUAUUCACAAAUCUCAUUAGCUACAACUAAUUCAAAUGUAAUUCUAAUUAACUAAAUAUUGUUAAAAUCUUUUCCUUAUGACAUGAACCCAACCCUUGGUUAGGUUAAUAUACAUUCGACGAUCGUAAACUCUCAAACUGUAGGUUGGUGUCAUUGGUCAAAAUAAGCAUCAAAAUGGCACUAUUGUCGGGGAGUGGUGUUACAUGAAGAUAUAGUUAAUCAGAAGUCUUGUUUUUCUUAGUUUUCAUUUUAAAAACCUAGUUCUAGUUUUGUUUGGCUCGUCUGUAGACCAAAACUGUAACAACCCUAAAAAUGGAUACGCUAAGUAAUGCAUAAUGUCUCUAGAAUGCCUACGAUUAGAUCGGGUUCACACAGAUUGAUGCGUGUAGAACUACACCUCUGAAGCCUUGCGAAAGCCAAUCCAACGAACUUGAGGUGUUAGUUCAUCUAGGAAAGGUUUGGUCCAGCCAUGUAGGGCUCCCAUAUAUGAAGAUUUACCCGAAUAAGUCUUUAUCGGACAUUAAAAGGGGAAACUUUAAGUUUGGAGAGUCUAGCUGUAAAAUGAUCUUUUUUCCAGGAAAAGGGUAGUAUCAUAGUUACCCUAAACAUGUAAUAAAUUAUUUAAUUAAUAAACUGGAGGGGCAUUUUGGGGAGAGUGGGCCGAAAAUUGUCCUUUGAGUGAAGUCUUACUCCAUCGGUGUUCGAGCCUAGGUGGAAGCAAUGAUUUGAAUUUUAUUCAUUUAAAUUGUUAAAUUAACUUAAUUAAUUAAUAUUUAUUAUCUAAUUUAAGAAAAAGGAAAAUCAGAUUUUUUUAAAGGGUUGAAGAGUCCUAGUUUGACUAAGACAAACCUUCCUGGAGAGAUUCUUUCACAUGGAGAUGAGGGAGUCCAAGGUUGAGGAGUUUAUAAACCUUAAGCAGGGAUCUAUGACAGUCAAGGAGUAUUCCCUGAAGUUUGUUAAAUUGUCCAGGUAUGAUACAUCCCUUGUAUUUAAUAGCAGGGAUGAGAUGAGUAGGUUCCUCAGAGGAAUCACCGGAGAUCUAGAGGAGGAGUGUCGAUUUGCGAAGUUCCACUAUAACAUGGAACUCUCAAGGUUGAUGGUGCAUGUCCAGCACGUGGAGGAUGUUCAGAAGAAGAGAGGUGUUUGUGAUGCUACGAGACCUAAGCUUCAUCAUCAUGCAGGUCCUAGCAAUGGUUGCAACAGGAACAACACCUUGAGGAGGCAUACCCGAGCCCAAGAAGUCCAAUGGAGGUGAGAUGCACCGUCCCAGAAAGAACUAUGCUAAGUGAUGUCAUGCUCACAGUGGAGAGUGCGGACACGCACUAAUGCCUUCUUUGGUUGAGGUAAGAGCGAACACAUGGUUAAGGACUGCCCCACAGAAAAGAGGUCAGGCUGAAGGUAAUGCUCAUCCUAGGCCUAAUCCACAGGAUGCAAGAGCAGCCGAGCCUCAUAAGUGGAAAAGGUUCUACGCCCUUAAGGGUAGGGAGGAGAAGGAGAAGUCCAAUGAUGUGGUCACAUGUAUGCUGCAAGUAUUCUCAACUUCUGUUUAUGCUUUACUUGAUCUAGGGUCUACGCUUUCCUUUCUAACUCCUUUGCUUGCCCUCACUUUUGAGAUUUUGCCUAAAGUUCUGCAUGAUCCAAUAGUAGUUAGUGCACCUUUAGGAGAAAAUAUAAGAAAUGAUAUAGUAUACAAGGAAUACCCAAUAAUUGUAUGUGGUAAGAAUAUGCGUGCAGACUUGGUUGAGUUACCCAUGCAUGAUUUUGAUAUUAUUCUUGGCAUGGACUGGCUUCAUAGUUGUUAUGUUUGUAUGGAUUGUCGCAGUAGAGUUGUGAGAUUUCAUUUACCUAAUGAAAAAGAGCUACUCUUGGAGGGGUACAACUCGAGUCGUCCUAAUCCUUUGAUUUUGAAUCUUAAGGCCAAUAAAAUGAUGUCUAAGGGGUUAUUAUGUCAUCUUUGAGUGUUAAUUAUUUAGAUCUAGUUCCAAGAUGUAUUUCAUGAUGAUUUUCCUGGAGUUCCUCCCCCUCGAGAGAUUGACUUUGGUAUCGAUAUAGAGCCCGAUACUAAACCAAUUGCAGUUCUUCCUUACAGAAUGGCUCCACCUGAACUCAAUGAGUUGAAACUUUAGUUAAAAGAUCUUACUUAUAAGGCUUUCAUUCAGCCGAGCAUAUCCCUGUGGGGCGCUCCAAUGUUAUUUGUGAAAAAGAAAGAUCAAAACCUUAGGAUGUGUAUCGAUUAUCGACAGCUCAACAAAGUAACUAUCAAGAAUAAGUAUCCAAAUCCCAGAAUAGAUGACUUGUUCGACCAACUCCAAGGGUCUAGUUUCUUAUCGAAGAUUGAUCUUCAUUCAAGGUAACAUCAGCUUAGGCUUAGGGAUGAAAUAUCCCAAAGACAGCCUUUCGUACCCGUUAUGGUCACUAUGACUUCUUAGUUAUGUCAUUUAGUCUCAAGAAUGCACCUACUGCAUUAAUGGAACUCAUGAACAGGGUCUUCCAAGAAUACAUAGACUCUUUCGUCAUAGUCUUCAUCGAUGACAUUCUCAUCUACUCUAAGACCAAGAAUGAGCAUGAACAAUAUUUGAGACUAACCUUGCAGUUACUUGGACAACAUCAGUUGUAUGCCAAAUUCAGCAAGUGUGAAUUUUGGCUAAGAUCAGUGACCUUCCUGGGUCAUGUUGUGUCCUAUCAAAGUGUAAAGGUGGACCCCAGGAUGACUGACGGUGUUACAGACUGGCCAAUACCUCUUACUCCCACAGAUAUCCGUAGCUUCUUGGGAUUGGUUGGUUAGUACCGUAGGUUCGUGGAGGGUUUUUCUUCCAUUGUUGCCCCACUGACAGCUUUGACUAAGAAGAAGUCCAAGUUUGAAUGGACGGAGACUUGUGAGAAGAGUUUCCAGAAACUCAAGGACAGACUCACUUCAGCCCCGGUGCUUACUUUGACUAAGUGUUGUGAGAAUUACACUGUUUAUUGUGAUGCAUCUGGGCUAAUCAGGGUUGUGUUCUUAUGCAGGAGGUAAGGCAAUCGCUUAUGCAUCUACACAGCUCAAGGUUCAUGAGAAGAAUUAUCCCGCUCAUGACCUAGAGUUGGAAGUUGUGGUGUUUGCACUAAAGCUGUGGAGGCACUACUUGUAUGGUGUGCAUGUGGAUGUGUUCAAAGACCACAAGAGUCUCCAGUAUGUGUUCACAUAGAGAGACUUAAAUCUACGUCAGUGGAUAUGGUUGGAUCUGUUGAAGGACUAUGACAUGAAUGUCCAUUACCAUCCAGGUAAGGCUAAUGUUGUAGCUGAUGCUUUGAGCAGGAUGAUCAUGGGAAGUAUAGCCCACGUUGAGGAUGACAAGAAGACUUGGUGAAUGAUGUAAAUAGACUGGAAAGACUGGGUGUGCAGUUAGUUGACCCUAUUACUGGGGGUAUUUUAGUUCAUCCUAGUUCUGAAUCAUCCUUAGUAGUUGAAGUCAAGAAGGGUCAGCAUCUUAAUCCUGUGUUUAUGUAGCUGAAGGACUCAGUAUUAGUUAAGAUUAAUGAGUCUUUUGCUUUGGGACGUGCUAGCAUACUUAGGUACCAGGACAGGCUGUGUGUACUAGAUGUGGAUGAUUUGCGGACCAGCAUCAUUGCAUAGGCCUAUGGUUCUAGAUUUUCUAUACAUCAAGAUUCCACCAAGAUAUAUCAUGAUCUUAAGCAGAUCUAUUGGUGGGAUGGCAUGAAGAAGGACAUUGCAGUCAAUAGGUUAAGGCAGAACAUCUUAAGCCUGGCAGUCUUACUCAGAUUAUUGAGGUUCCGACUUGUAAAUGGGAGGCCAUUAAGUGUGGGACGACGAUGGCAUCGACGCCGUGUCGAUCCAUACACAGACUGUAACUUGCACCUCUGCAGUCCGUUGAUGAGUCCAGAGAUUAUGCAGGUGAAGGGACCUUCUCCACCAACCUAAGUAUGGGGCGACGGUGGCAUCGAUGCCCUAUCGAUCCACACACGGGCCAUCUUCUAUCCCAUCGAUGCACACUGCUAGAUAGUGAUGCAUUAAACUACAAGGGUCAUCCUCAAGGGCCCUUGGUUGGUCCUUGGGGAGUCGUACCCGAAAGUUUCAACCAUAGAACAACUCAAAACCCAUUAGUUACCUUUCCAACAAUUUUCGUACAUUUCUGAAUCCUAAAAGUUAGUCAAAAAGGCUAAGGCACACUAACAUGCCUUUGAAUUCCCAGACGUUUUGGAUGUUAUGGUUCUUAAAACUCCUAAAUAAGCUAUAUUCAUUAAAAAUGGACUUAAGAAACAGCGUUUAGAAUUUAUGACACCUAUGUAAGCUUUAAAAUGAGUCUUUGAUCAAGGUGUUACAUUAUCCCCCCUUAGGAACAUUCGUCCUAGAAUGACACUAAAAUUCUUUUGAAGGAAUAGACCCAGGACUAGCAGCCGAACCAAUCAAAAAUAUCAAAUCAAUAUAAAUCAUGUCAUUUCAACAAGGCAAAUAUCAAAACUCAUAUUACCACACAUAAGGCUUAAAACACUUCAUCACGAGGCAUUUCCUUCUCACAACACUUAUGAGCUCAACAUACAUUACAUGAGUCAAUUAGCACAAAGUUCAACUUAACAACAUGCUACCUAUCAUUUCAUGAAGACUCACCAUAUCAAAAUGCACAAAAUAUCCCAAACCAAGCAAAAAGAAAAGUUUCAAGUUUUUAAUUGAAAUACUACAGUAACUUCACUGUAGGUUCUUUCAAAAAUGCAUAAUGCCCGCAAAUUCACCCAAAAAUCAAGAAAAUUCAAUUUUCUAGUCAUAUUUAUAUUUUUAAGAAGAAUGACUAACCUUAAUUCUCAAAAAUAUGAGGGUAAUGAUACUUCAUGUUGGCCUCCGCCUCCCAUGUUGCACCCUCAACUAGGUGAUUUUUCCAUAACACCUUUACGGAAACCACUUCUUUAUUCCUCAACUUCUUGACUUGCCUAUCGAGAAUUUGGACUGGAACUUCCUCAUAAGAGAGGUUAUCCUUGACAUCAAGACCCUCAAUUAGAAGAAUGGACUCGGGAUCACCAUUACACUCUUUCAACAAAUAAACAUGGAAAACCGGAUGAACCGAAGCCAAUUCAAUUGGAAGUUUCAAUUCAUAGGCAACCUUACCGACCCAUUGCAAGAUUUCAUAGGGACCCACAUAACGAGGACUCAGUUUUCAUUUCUUUCCAAAUCUUUCUACCCCUUUCAUUGGUGAAAUUUUCAAAUACACCUUAUCACCUUCUUAAAACUCUAAAUCCCUUCUCCUAUGAUCGGCAUAAGACUUUUGCUUACUAUAGGUCAUUUGCAACAGGUUCCUUAUGAUAUGAACCUUUUCCAAAGUAUUAUAAAUCAACUCGUGACCAAGAAGCGAUGCCUCACCCACCUCAAACCAUCCAAUAGUAGACAUACACCUCCUACCAUACAAGGCUUCAUAGGGAGCCAUGGAAAUGGAUGAAUGAAAACUUUUGUUGUAGGCAAACUCUAUUUAACGUAAAUUCCUAUCCCAACUCCCCUUAAAAUCAAUAAUGCACGCUCUAAGCAUAUCUUCAAGGAUUUGUAUCAUACGCUCCGCUUGACCAUCCGUUUGGGGAUGAAAAGCGGUGCUCAAUUUCACCGUAGUACCUAACCCUUUGUGGAAUAACCACCAAAAUCUAGAUGUGAAUUGUGCGUCCCGAUCCGAUAUGAUGGAUAAUAGAAUGCCAUGGAGGCACACAAUCUCAUCUAGGAUAUUCUUGAAUAAUCCUUCGAAGAAUAUGAAAACUUGACGGGAAUAAAGCGAGCGGAUUUAGUCAAUCGAUCCACAACCACCCAUAUGGAAUCAUAAGACUUUUGAGUCCAAGGUAAACCUACUACAAAGUCCAUAUUGAUGUCUUCCCACUUUCAAGUAAGAAUUUAGAUCUCUUGUAGUAAUCCACUUGACUUUAGGUGUUCGGCCUUUACUUAUUGGCAAUUCGGACACCUAGCGACAAAUUCUGCUAUGUCCCUUUAUAGACCUUCCCACCAAUAUAAUUCCCUUAGGUCAUGGUACAUUUUUGUUGACCCAGAUGAAUAGAGUAGCAGAACCCAUGUGCUUCUUCUAAGAUCCGAUCCCUCAACCUAUCUACAUUGGGAACACAUAAUCUCCCUUGGUACCUUAACACACCAUCCCCCCCUAAGGAGAAUUAUUCAUUCAACUUGCCGAGAACCAAUUCUUUCAACUCCUUUAAUGCUAAAUCAAGGUGUUGUUUGGACUUCACCUCAACCACUAAAGAUGACUUAGAGUUAUGAUGAACUAUGGAACCCCAAUCCGGAGAACUCUCCAACCUCACCCCCAACCUAGCCAACCUAUGUACUUCCCCUUCUAGGUCUUUUUGGCUUUGUAAAGAUGGGAUACUCUACCCAUAGUCAUCUGACUUAGGGACUCCGCAACUACAUUAGCCUUGUCGGGGUGAUAAAGGACACUCAUAUCAUAAUGUUUCAACAACUCAAGCCACCUUCAUUAUUACAGAUUCAACUCCUUUUGGGUAAACACAUAUUGGAGACUCUUAUGAUCGGUAAAAACACCAACAUAAACCCCAUACAAGUAAUGCCUCCAAAUUUUUAAAGCAAACACCACGCCCGCUAAUUAAAGGUCAUGAGUGGGGUAAUUUCUCUCAUUUACCUUUAGUAGCCUAGAUGCAUAAGUUAUCACCUUCCCGUGUUGCAUAAGCACACACCCCAAACCCACUCAGAAUGCAUCACAAUACACCACGAAACCCUUUGUACCCUUCGAUAAGGUCAACAGCGGAGAAGAGGUAAGCCUAUCUUUAAACAAUUGGAAGCUCUUCUCACAUGACUCUGACCACUCAAACUUGUUACUCUUUUGGGUCAAAGUAGUCAAAGGAGACGCAAUGGACAUGAAACCAUCCACGAACCUCCAAUAGUAACAAGCUAAACCAAAGAAACUCCUAAUGUUAGUCGGAGUCAAUGGUCUAGGCCAAUUUUUCACCGCUUCAAUUUUCCUUGGGUCUACCUCAACUCCCUCACUAGAAAUGAUGUGCCCAAGAAAAGUGACUGACCUCAACCAAGACUCGCACUUACUAUAUUUGUCAUACAAUUGAUGUUCUUUAAGGAUUUGCAAUACUACCCUCAAAUGACCCAUAUGAUCAUCCUCAUUAUCCGAAUAUACCAACAUAUUGUCAAUGAAGACAAUGACAAACGAAUCUAGGUAAUUUUGAAAUAUUCUAUUCAUUAGGUCCAUAAAUACCGUCGGAGCAUUAGUGAGACCAGAAGACAUGACUAAGAACUCAUAAUGCUUAUACCUAGUCCGAAAGUCCAUCGUUGGUAUAUCCUCCCCUCACCCUAAGUUGAUGAUACCCCAACCUCAAGUCUUUCUUUGAAAAGUAACUCGCCCUUUGGAGUUGGUCAAAUGAGUCAUCAAUCUGAUGCAGAAGGUACUUAUUCUUAAUGGUGACCUUGUUGAGUUGGUGGUAAUCAAUACACAAUCUUAAGGACCCAUCUUUGUUCUUCACAAACAAAACCGGAGCACCCAAGGUGAAAUAUUAAGCCUUAUAAAACUCUUAUCUAGUAAAUCCUUGAGUUGAGCCUUCCACUCUUUCAACUGAGUCGGUGCCAUCCGAUAAAGAGGAAUUGAUAUAAGAUUAGUAUUCGGUAGCAAAUCAAUGACAAAGUCAAUUUCUCAUUCGGGAAGAAUACUGGGAAGGUCGUUAGGGAAAACCUCCAGAAACUCACUCAAUACGUUACUAACUCAAUGAGAGGAACUUCGGAGUCAAGAUCUUGGACUCUUACUUUAUGAUAUAGACAACCUUUUGAGAUCAUUUUGCAUGCUUUUAGAUAAGAAAUAAUACGACCUCUAGUAAUAGAAUUUCCCCCCUUCCACUCAACAAUGAGUUCAUUUGGGAAGUUAAACCUCACCACUCUUGUCCUACAAUAAAUGGAUGCAAAACAUGCAUGCAACAAAUCCAUACCCAAUAUAAUAUCAAAUCAAGCAUAUCUAGUUCUACUAGAUCAAAAUAACAAAAUCUAUUGGGCAAAAUUAUAGGACAACUUCUGUACACCUUUUUUGCACCAACCGACUCACCCACCAGAGUAGACACUAUAAAAGGUUCAUGAAAAAUAUCAGGUAAAAUUUCAAACUUUUUGGAUACUAGAGGUGUAACAAAUGAUAAAGUAGCAUUUGGAUCAAGUAAGGCAUAUAUAUCAAGAGAGAAAACUUUCAACAUACCGGUCAUCACAUCGGGAGAGGUCUCUUGCUCACUCCAGAGAGGAGAGCAUAGAAGUGGUUCUUCUUUGGAGCAUCACUAGAACCAAUUGCUUGAGCUUGGCCACUACCCUUGUCUUGACUCUUCAAGUUUGGAUAAUCUCUCAGUUUGUGACAACUCUUGCCACAACUAAAGCAAUUAUUCGUCCCCUUAAGGAAAUCACCAUAGUGCUUUUUACCUUACUUUCUACAAGUUGGCUUCUCAUUUGGUGAAUUAGUACCUUUUUCCUUUUUGAAUUUAGGGUUAGACACCCUAUAACCACUAGCUCCUGGGAAUUUGGAAGGGACUUGAUUAGAGACAUCCUUCUUAAUUUUUGUCUUGUCUUGAAUCUCAAGCUUAUUCUUUGAAGAACCUCCAUCAGAUGACCUUUCCCUUUUAGCCUCUCUACUUUUUUGCUUAGCCCUUGCAUCCUCAACCCUUCUUAUAUAAACCAUAAGAGGGGAAAUGUUCAUGUUUUCAUGUAGCAUGGCCGAUUGCCAGUCCUCUUGUAAGUCCUCCAACACCCCCAUCACAAAAUAGCUCAUUUGCUCUCAAGGAUCGGAGACCAAAGAAGGAGCAUAUUUGAACAACUUAAUGAGUUACAAAGAGUACUCAUGAAAAAUCGUCCCUCCUUGGUGAAGAUUGAUGAACACCAUCACUUUCUCCUCCCUCAUCUCUCUAGGGAAGAAUCGAUCCAGAAAAGCCACCUUAAAAAUCUCCCAAGUCACUGAACCACCCCUUAUUUCCUAUUAUCCCUCCAUUGUUCAUACCAAGUUUGAGCCACAUCCUUGAGUUGGUAUGUGGUAAACUUGGCCUUCUCACUUGAAAACACCCCCAUAGCAUAUAGUAUCUUGUAGACCUCAUCUAUGAAUUCUUCGAGAUCUUCAUCAACCUUAGACCACUAGAAAAUAAGAGGGUUCAUUCGAUAGAAGUCCCUUAGACGGAAAUCCGUAAUAUUGACUUAUUGAUGAGGAUCAGAGCAAUAUCCCAAUUGGCUUGGGCCGUCAUAGAUUGGGCUCGAAACUUUGCGGCUUGUGCUUGAGUAGUCAUGGAUUGGUCCAUUUGAGCAAAAAUAGACCUCAUAUACGCCUCCAUAAUAGGUGGAGGUUAGUCGGGGAUUGAUCAACAUAAGCAUUCUCCUCAAGUGGAGGAACUUUCUCAUCAUGGGGAGGAGCUCCCGCAUUAGGAACUUCCUCCUCAAGUCUUCGAGCCGUAUUCCUUCGAGUGUUCAUGCUUCCUAUAAGCACAAUAAUAGGAUUAGAUGCAAAAUCACACCAUAAGUAUACUUUAUUGGCACGAUAUAAGAUUUCCAAGAAAGAAAGUGAUUCCUAAGCAUCAUAUAGGUUCCUACUCAUAAGUGUGGGUCGCUUCACAAUUAUGAAUACAAACCUACAUAGAUGAGGUACAAAGAGACAUAACUGAAGGGUAUUCAACCUCUUGGUCUGAUACAAAGUUUGUCACAUCCGGGGUUACCCCCUAGAAUUAACCGGCGUCGCCAUCCUUUUGAAGGACUAAGACUAGCCUCCUAGUUUCAUGUCAUUACAUUCAUAGGUUGAAAAAUUCAGAAAAAUUUAAAACAUUCAUUAUCACUACUUGGAGGUUUACAUAGACCUCUACAUACACAUAAUAUAUAUUCAUAUCGAGUAUAUAUCGACCCUUCAUAUAGGAAGUAUACAUAGCCUUCUACUUUCAUUGCACAUACAUAUAUAAGAAUAUAGAAAUAGUCUCAAUGAUUAUCUCAUCUCAUACCAUAGAAACGAAUAUCAUAAUAUGGACAUAUCCCUUGCAUCAAUUCAACAAGACCAUGUAUAGGUCGUACAAAAGUACAAUAUUCAAAUAACAAGGAGAGUAAUUAUAGAGUCAAUAAGCUCAAAACAAAAUACAACGCUAGAGGAUGGAAUUGCCCAGACAGUUGAGGACCUACUGUAUUCGAAUUAAAGGAAGAAUCCAAGCCUUCAACAAUGACGCCUCCCAAAACUCUUCAACAACCAAAAUUAAAAUGUUUGGGGAAAAGGGAAGAAAAUGGGGUUAAUACUCCACAUGUACUAAGUAUGAGAUAUUAUGCACAUACACAAGCAAAACAUGCUAAAACAUGUCAUUUUACCCAUUUAGGGACAUAGUGCAAAGUCAUGUAAGUCAUACCAAUCAACCAACAUGCUUUCUAUCAUACAAGUAAUACUUAUCCCAACAUACUUGAAACCAUGAUAUACUACAAACCUAACAUCAAGGAAUAAUAUCACAAGAAUGAAUAAGAAGUAAACACAUCAUAAUAAGAAAGACAACUACUCAUAAUUCCUUAUCAAGUCAACAAGUUUAAUGACCAAGCAAAGCCCCAUAACCUUACUAAAUCAAGUACCCUAUACAAGAAAACAUGACCAAUGUCCAACUUUACAUAACAUGUCAUUAAACUUUCAUUUCAUCAUAUACUAUCAUCAAAAUCCCUGGCAUAUUCAUAAAGGAACUAAUCAACAUAUAGUAUCAACAAUGUACCAUGGUCAUUAUAUAUAUACAUCAUAUAUUAUCAUAACAUAAACAUACAAAAGAACCUCCUCCAAUGAUUCCCCUUAAAUCAAACUAGUGCAAUGUCUAGGUAAAGUCUCGUACCCCUACCUAGACUAAGCUAGACCCCUUAGGUUAUCCAAGUUAUUGUUCAAGUCCUUUAAUUCGUUUUACCUUUUUGUGAAUAUCUUGCCCUAAACAACAUAGACCUCAUGAGCUAGUGUGGAAUGUGGUGUCAUAAACCCUACAUCAAAAGAAGGCGGACUACUUUCCAAGGUAGUACCAAAACAUGAAAUAUAUAAACUACGUAAAUCCACUAGCUAGUAUUCCUAUGAGGAAACCAUAGUUCAAGAACUAGGAGAUUUAGUUUGGACCCACUUUAUGUGUCAUGCAUUAUAUUCUCCAAUCUCAAGAGUAAUAUAUAGUGUUCCUACCUUCCCUAUGUGGGAAGGGACACUUCUCUAUCUAAUUCACUCAGCGCUAAGCUAGAGUCCCUUUUUGAAAUGUCUUUAAGCCUUUAAUUAUCAAUAAUAACUUAAUUUAGGCCAUAAGGUCUACCCCUUGUAUAAUAAUCAUCAUCAUAGCUCAAUAAGAAUUGUAUGAGUAUAAGUCCUUCCAUCACAAUUCAUAUAAGUGAAGUUAACACUUUACAUUUCACAACAUAUUAAGGCACAUUGAUAGUUUUCACCAUCCUUAUGGCACAUACACCUUAAUCAACCUCACAACAUAGUCAAAACAUUUGAAUUCAACAUCGUACCACUCUAUAAUCCUAGUAUAAGGCAUACUCCAAUGUAAUAUCAUGACUUAACAACAAUUAAUCACAAAUGGAAGUAAAGAUAGAGAUUCUAAGACUUACCAAGUCUUCCUCAUAGUCUAUCAUCAAGGUGUUACCAUAAAUCCAUAACACAACCCAACUUGGGGAGUAACAUCAUCACACAAUGAUAAUCAAUACGAUAACAAGGCCAAAUGCAUCUCUAUAACACAAUUCAUCUUUAGAUCACAACUUGAAACAAGGUACAUAGGCUAAUUUCACAUUAUAAUUAAUAACCUAAAUCAUAUCUCAAGAACUAGAAUGAUAUACCUAAAAUUCAUCUUAAUUUAAUCAUAAUAGAACCAUAGAAUAGAAGUCAAAUCAACAACCAACUCAAUUGAAUGAUCACAAUACAAUAUAGGUAAAGAACCUAGGAUUAGGGAUAGAGGAUCAUACUUUUAAAUUUAGACCAAACCAUCAACAAGUCGAAGAAGCCCUAGAUCCGCCUCUUACUUACCUACCUUCCCAGACUAGCUAGUCAGGGCGAAGCAUUCUUAGCAUUAGUAGUUUUGGCACGAUAGACUCAUGAGAUGUGACCUCAUGAUGGGUCGGUGGGAAUGGCUCGUGAUCGUGCAUUCAAUCAAUUUCCCUUGGAAACGGAUCUCUUCCCCGGUCAACCCACUCAAUAUCCGAGAGAGGGUAGGCUUUUGGCGGCCGCAGAGACGGCGGAUAACGCAGCGGAUGAUACGUACUUGGAAAUAAGCAGAUCAUAGAUAAGUUUUUUCAUGCCUUGACUCUCCCUCGGUUCGUUCGGGAAGGCUUGUACUCAAAGACCAUGUCGAACCCUGCAUCAAAGUCUUGUCACCCUGCCCGCUUGGGGUCUGAGUAAGGAAAGAGCUCGUAGCCGCGUUAUUGGGCUUGUCUUGUUGAUAACCUUGAGACCGGCGAAGACUGUGCUCCAGCUGGUGGUGAAGGAAAGGGGGAAGCGACUCGUUCCUUCCUUGCGGAGGAGUUAAAACAGACUAUGACGGCUCCGUUGCUUUAUAUCACGACCUCAUAAGAAAAGAAUGAAAAAAACGAUGUUUCCCUUCCUUACAGUCAAGGGAAAUAUUAUCCCGAGCCCCAAAACCUAAUAGUCUCUUCGACUAUCAUCAACCAGAAGCCACUCUCCGGGGAACCCACUUCGGACUCCUUAUUCCAUUUUCGGACCGUUUUGAGGCGUUGGCUAAGAUCAAGCUCAUCUAUCUCAUUUUCAAGGAUGAGAUAGAUGCUGUCUUUUUGGUCUUGGGGCGAGCCCGGCAACCCCAUGCCGAAGAAAGUAGCCCUUUCCAAAUUUCGGCUAGGGCAUUUCUUUCCUCAGCGAUUCGGUUGAGUUGCUUUUCCGUAAUACGUAAAAGCUUCUCGUUCGAUAGCGUAAAGCCGCCCAACACAGAGAACGAACAUGGUCGGUAGGUAAUUAAUCUUCGUUUGGAUAGCAGUACGAUACACGCAUCAAGAUAUGAUCUUUGCUUUUCCAUCCCUGGCAUUCAAAAGAAAGGGGGGAAAGGGAGAGUGAAAAGCACCCUGUAGAUAAAGAUCGAGAGCCUGUGGACCGGGGUUGAACCAUAUCCCCCUUCUGUUAAUCGAGAGUGUGACGAAGUGAACCGAAAAUAUUGUGCGGUAAACUGAUGCUGUGAGGCGGAGAUAGCUGCACUUCUUGUUCUUUUUUCCCUUCGAUUCUUUAACGCUUCUUUCAGGUCUCGCUACCCCUGGCAAGUCAGCUAGCGAACCAAGGGGCAAAGAAAGGGGGCCCUUGGGCCACUUGACUCUAAGGAAAGGGGAAAAGUUAGUUCCGUCUUCUACGAUGUAUGCUCUUUAACUGGUUCAUACUGGAAGAAUGGAUGGCGUAGGAGUCUCUCUUCUGAGACUUGGACUGAUGAACUCUGUAACCUAUAUUCUCCAACCUUCCUCGAUACCCUAGAGGUCGACUCUUGCUGCGAUGAAGGCCCACAUAUUUUGAAUCUCGGCUCCCCUCAAGGAAAAAGCGGGAUACUUAGCUGAAAGGGUGAACAAGGCCGAGCGCCUUCAAAGGUUGCUGUUUUCUGUAGGCAAGUCUUCAAAAGUCAAAGAAAAUUUGUCCAAUUGAUGAUUCGGGAGCUCAAAAAAAGGAAUUUCUUUUUCGCUUUUAAACCUGUUUGCAUAGGCUCGUGCACUGAUUUACGUUCAAUAAUCCCAAGAUUUUGAUCCCGGGGUGGGGAAGGAGCGCGCCACGACUUACUUACUCACGAAGUUCAAAAUGAAAGGGGACGACCCCCCUUACAGCCUCAAGAAAAGGAAAGAUACGACCUCUUAAUAACAGUUCGGAAUCUGAAUAAGGAAUCAAGCCGUCCGUGCGAAAUCUUACUAAAGAGAAGCACAGGGGAGACACCCUAGUAACACAGGCACCUCCAGAGCCCACAUUCAAAGUCUCCUUCGAGAAAUCGACGACCCAAGACACAAAUCACCAAACACACAUAUGAAUAUGAGGAAGAGAUCGUCCGUUUUCGAUAUACAAACUUCAACGGCUGCAGGAAUAGUCUAGUCUACUCGGACCUCUACUAGGGCUAGAGCUAGCCGGAAAAAGAAGGGGAAAAAUAGGCGAUUCGAAUCCCCCUUCUUCUUCUUCCCACGAAACUGAAACUAAAGAAUUCCUUGUAGGGUCAGCUUACCAAUCGCUCUAUUUUCUCUUUCCUGCCUACAGCUCACGACGUACUUUCCUUUCUUUGAGCGACUGAGCGAGAUCUUUGAAAUUCAAUCAGAACAGCACUGGGUGGGUAAGAUAUAGGAUUCUUGUCUGAGUCGCGUGGAUCACAAAAUGGAUCUAUGAUUUCAAGUCCACUCGUUGAUUUCGAGAAAACCGAAUCAAUUGGCUUUUUUCCCAGCGAUGCCUCCAACUCGAGAUUUUGAUAUGCCACGCCAGAUGUUCUAUGGAUACAAGUUAUUUAACGCCCCGAAGGAUUCUUUUUUUGAUUCUGGACCGCGAGAGUUAUUUCUUUCGAUCUCCAUCUUUUUACCCGUAAUAGGUAUUGGUAUAUACCCCGAUUUCGUUCUUUCAUUAGCAGUUGACAAGGUCGAAGUUAUUCUAUCUAAUUUUUUUUAUAGAUAAUUGGAUGACUGAAAUAAAAAAACCUAUGGACUAAAAAAAGGAGAAGCGUCAUGCGUCAUGCUUUUGUAGACCAGCUAGUAUACAUUAAAGAAAGUGGCUUCCUCAAUUAAACUAGCUUCCUCAU